GUUGCGCUAGCUACGUACAUAAGCGAACCAAUAAUUUGAGAGUAUCUCAAUUGAUCUAUAGUUGUGUCGUUGAACUUUCGAAUCAGCACACUAGGAUCAUAUGGUGUUUGAAAAAUUUUGCAGUCUGAAUAUCCAAAUCGACUCAAGAUCUUCUCAACAUAGUGGGAUUGCAGAAGUGUAAUCCCACCCUCAUCAUCUCUCAAGAGCUUGAUGUUCAAGAUAACAUCAGCCACUCCAAGGUCCUUCAUCUCAACGUUCUGAGACAGAAAGGACUUAACCUCCUCAAUCACCUUGAAGUUGGUUCCAAAAAUCAGUAUGUCAUCAACAUACAAGUACAGUAUAACUCCUUCCACCCCACCAUGGCGAUAGUAUACACACUUGUCGGCUUCAUUAACAAUGAAGCCAAUAGAUGUCAGAGUUGUAUUAAACUUAUCAUGCCAUUGCUUAGGUGCUUGCUUCAGGCCAUAUAAAGAUUUCAGCAACUUACACAUUUUUCCUUUUUGACCAUCUAUCACAAAGCCAUCUGGUUGUUGCAUAUAGAUUUCCUCGUCUAGCUCUCCAUUCAGGAAAGCCGUCUUAACGUCCAUUUGAUGAACAAGAAGACCAUGUGAGGCUGCCAACGAGAGUAGUACUCGUAUGGUGGUCAGUCUGGCCAUAAGUGAAUAAGUGUCGAAGAAAUCUUCUUCUUCUUUCUGGGCAUAACCCUUAGCCACAAGCCUAGCCUUGUACUUCUCGAUUGUACCAUCGGGCCUAAGCUUCCUUUUGAACACCCACUUGCAUUCCAGUGGUUUGCAACCAUAGGGACGAUCAGUAAUUUCCCAUGUCCCAUUAGCCAUGAUGGAAUCCAUCUCGCUACGGACCGCCACUUUCCAGUAAUCAGCAUCUAGAGAAGCAUACGCUUCUGAAAUAGAAGUGGGAUUAUCAUCCAUGAGGUAUACGAGGAAAUCAUCACCAAAGGUCUUUGCAGUCCUUUGUCUCUGGCCCCUACCAAGGGUUUCCUCGUCAUCCUCCUCAGGAUUUCCAUCAUGUGUUUGUUCAUAAUAUUCCAUAGAAAUGGCAGGCUCAGGAGUUCUCUCAAAUUCCUGUCUAGAAGUGCUUUGCAUAUCUCUCAUGGGAAAAAUAUCCUUAAAGAAUAUAGCAUCCCUCGACUCCAUUAUUGUACUGACCUUCACGUCGGGUACCUCAGAUUUCACUACCAGAAAUCUAUAUCCUACGUUAUUCUUAGCGUAUCCCAAAUUAACGCAGUCCACGGUCUUUGGUCCAAGCUUGCGCUUCUUGGGGAUCGGCACAUUGACUUUCGCCAAGCAGCCCCAAGUACGUAAGUACGAGAGCGUCNNNNNNNNNNNNNNNNNNNNNNNNNNNNNNNNNNNNNNNNNNNNNNNNNNNNNNNNNNNNNNNNNNNNNNNNNNNNNNNNNNNNNNNNNNNNNNNNNNNNNNNNNNNNNNNNNNNNNNNNNNNNNNNNUGCGUCGUCCUUCUCUUCCACCAUUCCUCAUAAGGAGUGACCACAUUAUCUUUUGUAGGAACCUUAUUCAGGACAUGACACGCGGUCAAUAUAGCCUCCCCCACCAUGCCUUGGAUAAACCCAAUGUAUCUAACAUGGCGUUAACCAAAUCAGUUAGAGUAUGGUUUUUCCGUUCGGCAACCCCGUUUGACUAGGGUGAAUAAUGAGGCGUCCUCUCAUGAAUAAUGUCAUGUUCAGCAUAAAAGGAAUCAAACUCGUUGAGAAGUACUCUCCACCACGAUCAGAUCGGACUCGUUUAAUUUUUUUUUCAAGUUGAUUCUCAACUUCUGCAUUAUAGAUUUUAACGUAUUGUAGAGCCUCAUCUUUAUUAUUUAACAGAUAAACAUAGCAAUAUCUAGUGGAAUCAUCUAUCAAUGUCAUGAAAUAUUUCUUUCCACCUUUAGUCAACACAUCAUUCAUCUCACAAAGAUCAGAAUGUAUGAGUUCUAAUGGUGCCAAAUGUCUCUCCUCUGCAGCCUUGUGAGGCUUGCGAGGUUGCUUUGCUUGCACACACGAAUGACACUUAGAACCUUUGGCUAAAGUGAAAAUUGGGAUUAAAUUCAGUUUUGCUAGCCGCGACAUAACACCGAAACUUAUGUGACAAAGACAUGAAUGCCAAACUUCAAAUUCAUUAACACUCGAAUGAAUAUUGUUCACGACUUUAUUACAUAAAUCCGCGAGGAAAGGCGGAACAGACCUCCGCACUCAUAACCUUUUCGAACAAAAAGUCCAUAUUUCGUAACAACUACUUUAUUAGACUCAAAGACCAACUUAAACCCUUCUCUACACAGAAGGGAGCCACUAACGAGAUUCUUCUUGAUGGCGGGGACAUGCUGCACGUUCCUUUCCGAAGUAAACUUCAGAUCGACCGUGCCAACAUCAAGAAUAGAAGCAAUCGUUCCCGUGAAGACACCGGUGAUUAAAUAAGCGGGACAACCCGCUUCGUGGCGAGGCGGGCGGCGGAGGAGUGCACGAGGGCAUCUUCUCUUCUUACUUUCCAAUAGCAUGUGAAAGAAAGACCAUUAUAAAGGGGUCCAACUUCUUCUCCACUAGCGGGGUGGGACUAAACGUCCUACCACCACCUUGUCAUGCCACCACAUACAUGGGUCCUUGGAGAUUUCUGAAUUUUUUUUAUGGGCCUAAGAUCCACUACUAAUUUCAACACAAGCAUCUCUUCAUACUCCUCAUCAUUGAGACCAUCCAUUGGGGGCAACGAAUCCGUGUACAUGAAGUGGAGCGGUGCUUUGAAGGCAGCAGGCUGCAUAUCUUCAAUGGUUACACUCUGCUUAGACUGCUCGUUGCUCAUCGGCCCGUAGAACUCUGCCUUGAAUACCGGCGAACGCAUCGCGAGGAUGACCUUAUGGGCUGCGAAAACCUCCCCGUUGACGUUGAAGGACACAACAGCCGCCUCCUGUGUCUCUAACAAAUUGCAAAGAUUGUCCAGCAAAUCCGGCCGCGGAACUUGGUCCUCGUAUUUCAACACGGCAUCCGCCACCAGCAUCUCCGUAAAAUUGAUCACAGCAAGACAUCACUCAAUGAGAAGGACGUCAUCUAGCAAGUACUUUGUGAGCUUGCUCUUCUUCCUUUUUUAGAGAAGGAGGUUAAACUCCCGGCCUCUGCAUCAAUCGAUGCAUAUGCAGCCAUCUUAUUAAUUAUUUUACAAAGGUCAAACAAGAGUAUACAUCAAUCCAUCCAAAGCGAUCACUCACACCUACAAAUUCGAUAAUGUGGAGUGCUCUCACUCCACAUAUCUAAGACCGGUGUUGUUUCCAAUCCAUCCACAUAACGUAUCGGGAACAACAGCCGGUGCAGCACACCUAAAACGCACACCUCACGCACACGUUUUACCAACCGCCAUCAUCCUCGAACCAUUGACCCAUCUUCAGGAAAGAGAUCCGCAUCAUCCUUGCCGGUCCAAUCAUCCGUCGACGUCACCAUGGCGCCCAACGGCGCCACCGCCCUGCGCUCAUCCGUCCAGAUGCGAAGACUCCGGGAGAUCUGUCGUGCGUAGCACCUGCCAACCAGGCAUGACUCAACGUAGCACCUGUCGGCCAGGCAUGACUUGACAGCUCCACCGAAAUUCCGUGCAAGACGAAGCCGCUCCACCUCCUGCCUCAGUCUGCCAGCGCUGCUCCACCAACGAUGCUCCCAACAGAGAACGGCACCGCAGUACCGCCAUCGUCCGAUCUGGAAGACCAGAUCCUAGGGUUUCCCCCGAAGCAGUGCCCACCACCAGCAACCGCUCAGGACCCACACAGUGCCCACCACCACUCAGCCCUCAAGGCGACGCCUUUAGGAAGGUCAGGACGUCAAGGACGCCGCCGCCACCCACCGGAGUUAGGGUUUUCACCCGAGAGGCAAGGAAGGGGAGCAGAGGAGUAGAUGUCUCCUCCACCGGCUUCACCCACAGGAAGGGCCCCGGCAACCACGCCGGCACCGCCAAGAAUCCGCAGGAGAGAGGCCCACAGACCAGGACCUGGGGGGCACAGGUGGCGGUGCGGGCAGCGACCGACGAAGGGGAACAAAACACCUCCACAACGACGCUUCCAAGAAAGAUAGCGGCACCCGCGGGCGUCGCCGUCGCGGCUCCGAUGAAGACCGGAGCAAGGAUUUCUUCCGGAGCUGCGCUGGAUAUCCACCGCCACCGACCGCUGAGCAUGGCCGUCACGCACCAUCACGGCCCCCAGCCAAGGCCACUGCACCGCGCGCCCUGGACACUGCUCGUGCCCAGCCGACCAGCGCAGUUGCGCCCGGCUGCCGCUCCCUACCACCAGGGCCGAGCGCCUCGCUAGAUCCGGCCAUGGAGCCCCGGAUCCGCCCUCCACCGCCGCCGAUUGGCGAUAUCACACCGAAUCCCGCAACCACCGACGCGGGGCGCCGCGUCAGAGCCCGAAGGCCGACGCGAGGGGCCCCGCCGCCGCCAUCCCCGGGGCGCGUGCGGCUUCGCUGGCGUCCCCUCCGGCAGCGGCGAAGCGGGAUGGGGCGGAGAGGGGGUCCGGUGGCGGCGUGGUGUGUGUCUCUACGCGGAGAGGAUGCACGCCGGCGACGUGCUCGCGAGGCGCCGUACUAGAGGAGCGCGGGCCGGGCAGAUCGGAUGCCGGGGAUGUCGAGGACUCUGGAUCUGAGCUGCCGCCUUGUUCGGUUGCAACAGAUUUGAAGGGGAUUGAAAUAGAUUGGGAAGGAUUAAAUCCCGUGUAAGUCAAAUUCGACCUCAAUCCCCUCCAAUCCUUUCCAAUCCUCUUGUGGUGGGGAUUAACCGAACAAGCCCUGAGUCGGAGAUUACCCCAGGACGCACCAUCAGAGUCGAACAAGGUUAUGCCGCUAGGGUCUGGUGGCCAUGUAAAAGGCCGCAGCGCCUGCUUUGUGGCCUGGUUGACAAGCCUCAGAUCGAAGAACGCCCUGACCUCCGCGUCCCCUGUCUUGAGAUCGAGGAAAGCUGACACCCAGUCCUUGUAUUUUUCCGUGUUACCGUCAGGGUAGAGGCAGACGCGCCAGUCGUAGCCGCCGACGGCGAAGGUAGCCGACUCGAUGCACUCGCCGACGCCGGUGCCGUUGUAGAGGCUGUACUCGGUGAUUCUGAACAAGUGUGUCCCGUGUGUAGUGUCCGCGCUGUAGGUCGACGUCGUCGUUCGUGAGCUAUGGGACGCUGCCAUUGCUGGUGGCUAUAUAUGUGGGGGCAGAAAGAAACUAAGCGCUGUGGUUGCACAAUGCGAUUCCUUCCUUCCGUGGCAGGGAUCCUGGUCAAAGUAAUUCUUGCUACAGUACAUCAAGCAGUCCAAAACAAAUCGAUCGUGGUUGCACAAUGGCAAGCCAAAAAAAUAGUCCAAGGGAAAAAACAACUGAAGAAAACCAAGGAAAACUUACCCAGACAGUGAAAGUCAAAAUAGAAAAACACGGAGAAAAAAAAUAGUGCACAGACAACUAGAGUACAACACUCUCGUGUGUGUGUGUUAGGUUGAGAGAACCAGUUAGAAACCCUCCCAAUAGUUGCGUGACGUGACGCCUCUCCUGCGAUCCCCCGACGUACCCGCCAUGCCUUCUUCUUGGCCGCAUCCUCGUUCUCGAUCGCCGGGUAAUAAUGCUCGCGUCCCAGAGCAUACAGACGAUGAUGGCGUCGGCCUGUCAGACCCAACUAUCUCUCUAAGAACGAUCUGUGAAAAACACAUGAACUCGGGGAGAUUACUGCUCAAAUUUAAUGGUGUUCUUGUUGCAAACAGAGGAACCUAAGCCGUCCAGGGACACUGGCGGCACAAAGGGGAAACCCUAAAAGAGAUUACAUGCUCCACGAGCUGGAAUUCAAUGGCUUUAUAGCCUUACACGCAGUAAAAAUGAAAAAGGUGGCGGUAGAAAGCUUGCCGGCGAUCGGCGCUGGUGCCGGAAGGCUACAACGACGCGGGGGUGGCUCGCAGCCGUUGGAUCUCCCAUCGAUGGUCGUCAUCUCGUCCGACAAGCGCUAAGCGGUACGAAGGCACGGAGAGCGCAGGAUCCACGAUCAACGGCUGCGGUAGCUUGGCGCCAACGUUCGAAUUUAAAAGGGGGCCGCGUCUUCUUCUGUGGGUCCUGACAAUUCCCCCCACUGAACUCCAGACCUGUCCUCAAGGAUGAAUUGAGGGAAGAUCUUCUGGAUGAAUGAUGCGUCUUCCCAAGUGGCUUCGUGUUCUUCCAAGUUGGUCCACUUGAUGAGCCAACGAACAACCGGGAUUUGAAUGUCACCUUGUGUUCUGGGAAUGAGCUUUCGUUGCAGCAACUUCUCAGGUUCCAGCAGGAUAGACCCAUUCUCAUGGAGGAGGGGCAGGUUGGGGUUGGGGAUUGCCUUUGGGCCCAGGUGCAGUUUCAGCUGGCUGACAUGGAAGGUGGGGUGGAGUUUACAAUGGUCAGGUAGGAGUAGCUUGUAAGCUACAGGGCCAACUCUUUGUAUGAUCCUGAAAGGACCAUAAUAUUUGGAAUGGAGCUUGAGGCAUCGAUGAACACUGAGUGUGGUGUGCCUGUAAGGUUGUAGUUUGAGGUAGACCAUGUCAUCAACUGCCAAUGUCCUUUGUGACCUUUUCUUAUCAGCAAAGUGCUUCAUUCUUUCCUGAGCCUUGAGCAGGUUGGCUUUGAUAUGUGCAACAACCUGUUCUGCAGUGAGAAUGGAGCUGAAUUCCUGUGUGUGUUCAGGAGGGUAUAGUGUUGCUUCAGCCAACAUAGAAGGUGGCCUUUUGUAAAGUGCCUGGAAGGGAGUAAUCUGCAAAGAGGUGUGGUAGCUGGUGUUGUACCACCAUUCAGCUAGGGACAACCAUUGCAUCCAUUUCUUUGGCUGAAGAAAGGCCAUGCACCUGAGAUAAUUUUCCAAACAUUGAUUUACUCUUUCAGUUUGUCCAUCGGAUUAGGGAUGAUAUGAUGUGCUCAUCUGUAACUUAAUGCCCAACUUUUUGAAUAGCUCCUGCCAUAGAUGACUAGUGAAAAUCCUGUCUCUGUCAGUGACAAUUACAGAAGGGAGACCAUGCAGCUUAAAGAUAUUGUCUGUAAAUGCAGUGGCAACAGUACUGACAGUGAUUGGGUGCUUCAUUGCAAUAAAAUGGGCAUAUUUUGUGAAUCUAUCCACCACCACUAAUAUCAUAUCCUUGUUCAGAGAAGUAGGAAGUCCUUCAAUGAAAUCCAUGCUGAUGUGACACCAGGCAAAAUCAGGGACAGGUAGAGGUUGGAGCAACCCAGGGUAUUUGCAAUGCUCAGGUUUGUUGAUUUGGCAUGUUGGGCAUUCCUUGAUGAAGUUCACAAUAAAUUGUUUCAUGCCAGGCCAAUGGAACAAUAGUUUAACUCUUUGGUAGGUAUCCCUGUGACCAGAAUGUCCCCCUAAUUCAGAGUUGUGUAAAGCAGCUACCAGUUUGUUCCUGAGGUUAAGAUCAUUUCCAACAACAAUUAUGUUCUUGUAUCUGAUAAUGCCUUGCUGUAGGGUAUAGUUGGGGAGUGAUGUUCCAGAAGUAGCCAGUUGGGACAACAUAUCCUUGCAUUUCUGAUCUUGAGCAUAGUUGUUGAUGACAUCAGAAAUCCAGACAGGUUGAGCUUUUGAAGCAACCAAGGAGUGAAGUUUGUAUUGGACUCUAGAUAGGGCAUCAGCUACUUUGUUAUUUUUACCCUGCUUAUAUUCCACUCUGAAAUUGUACCCGAACAGUUUGACCAGCAAUUUAUGUUGUAUGCCUUUAGUUAACUUUUGCUCCUGAAUGUAUUUGAGACUCUGUUGGUCAGUCCUGAUGAUCAAGGAGGAUGCAGCAAAGUAAUGCUUCCAAUGUUUAAGUGCUUCAAUUAUUGCAAUUGCUUCUUUGUCAUAAGUGGACAUUGUUGCUGCUUUAGGGCCAAUAGUUUUGCUGAAGAAUGACAAUGGUUUUCCUUCUUGCAUGAGCACUGCUCCUAUGCCAUAGGCACAAGCAUCUGUUUCAAGAACAAAUGGAAGUUUGAAGUCAGGAAGAGCUAAUACAGGAGCUUGAGUCAUUUUGUGUUUCAGAGUGUUGAAGGCUUGCAAUUGCUCAGGGCCCCACUUAUAAUUAUCCUUUUUGAGGGACUGAUAAAGGGGUUUGCAAAUGUAACCAUAGUUUUGGAUAAAUCUUCUAUAAUACCCAGUGAGCCCAAGGAAACUUCUGAGCUGAGUGAUGUUGGUUGGUGUUGGCCAUUGGACAAUAGCUGCAAUCUUGGAGGGAUCAGUAGCAACACCAUCACCUCUAAUUACAUGGCCCAGGUAUUCCAUUUGAGUUUGUGCAAAGGAACAUUUACUCAGUUUUGCAAACAACUGGUUCUCUUGCAAGGCCUGCAGAACUAAUUGCAAGUGGAGCAAGUGUUCUUUCAUAUUUCUACUGAAGAUCAGUAUAUCAUCAAAGAAGACCAGCACAAACUUCCUCAGGUAGGGGGCUAAGAUGGUGUUCAUGAGCAGUUGAAAAGUAGCUGGAGCAUUUGUUAAACCAAAAGGCAUUACCAGAUAUUCAUAAUGUCCAUAGUGGGUACUGAAUGUUGUUUUUGGGAUAUCUUGCUCAUUCAUUCUUAUCUGAUGGUAACCACUUCUGAGGUCCAGUUUGGAGAAGACAGUAGCUCCUUUUAGCUCAUCCAACAGAUCUUCAAUCACAGGGAUAGGGUAUUUGUUCUUGACAGAUUGUUCAUUUACUUUUCUGAAAUCAUUGACUAAUCUCCAAGUCAUAUCUUUCUUCUUAACUAGCAAGGCAGGAGAGGAAUAAGGAUUGUUACUAUCUCCGAUAACUUGGUUCUUGAUCAUAUCUUUCACAAUACCCUCCAUGAUAUCCUUUUGGUGGUGAGGGAGCCUAUAAGGUCUCUGAUUUAUGAUCUUAGCUUGAGGAGUGAAAGUGAUCACAUGAUCAAUGGAUCUUUUAGGGGGGCAGGGUUGUGGGAGUACUGAAAACAGGGGAGAACUUCUCAAGUAGUGGUUUUACUGGUUCUGGCACAACAGGCUCCAGUUGUUCUAUCACUGAUAUUCUGCUUAGGUAUAACACAGCUCCACAAACUGGUUCCUCAGAAAGAUUUUCCUUGCUGGUCAAAUCAGGGACAGGAGCAGUUGGGAAACUUUCAUCUUUAAUAAUCAACUUUUCCCCAUUUUUCAUAGUAAGAUUUACUUGCAUCUCAUCAAAGUCAAGUUCAACAGGACUGAAGGAGACCAUUCAGUCAGCACCAAGGAUAAUAUCAUAUCCUUGGAGUUUCAAAACUCUGAAAUCAGUGGAGAACUUUGAGCCUUGUAGUGAGAAGGGUGCUUGAAUAGCAAUAAAUUCAGACCAUAGUGUUCCACCAUUGGCAACUAGGACUUGUUUUCUUUUUGUAGGGGUUAAGGGACACUUAGCUAGAGCUGCUAUCUUUGGAGUAAUAAAAGUGGCAGUGCUACCACUAUCAAUAAGGGCUGUUGCAGGAGUGGAGCCCAUCAUUAUAGUGACAGUAAAGCUCAGCUUUUUUGUAGUGCUCAGGCCCAUCAAUGCAUGCAUAGAUAUCUGGAGAGGAGUGUCAUCAACUUCAGUAGGAGGGGGAGGUUCACCAUCCUCAGUUACAGCAGUGUAGUACACUAGUUCAGCAUCAUCAGGACAGGAUUCCUGGAGUGCUUGAAUUUGAGCCUGAUUGGCUAACUUGCACACCUUUUUAUGACCAGGGAACCAAGGUUCCUUACACCUGUAGCAAAUCCCUUUUACUCUUGCUUGUUGGAUCAUGCAGGCAGAGUUAAUUGGGUUAGGUUUUCCUGGAUCAAACUGUAAUUGCUUCCUUGCUUGUGAAGGGUAAACAGGGGCAGGAGGUGGCUUUCUCUGUAGUUGAGCCUGCUCCAUUCUCCUGGCUAACCAGAUGGCCUUUUGGAGAUCAGGGGGCUCAUGGCACUGCACAUGAUGCUGGAUGUGAUCAUUCAGUCCAGAAAUGAAACUGUGCUUGUAAUGCUCAUUUGACAGGACUGGAUUGUCUCUUCUCAUCAAGUUCAUAGAUUGUUCAAACUGGGUAACAUACUCAUUGACAGUUCCAGUUUGAGUGAGGUUGUGAAAAGCUCUCACAUUGUCACAGACAGAAGUUUCUGAAAAUCUGUCUCCCACAAACCUGCAAAAUCUGUACCAGGGUAUUGUAUUGGCCACCAUACCAGUGCCUCUCCACCAUUCAAUAGCUGGACCUUUAAGGUAAGUCACAGCAAUCUCUGUUUUCUGUUCAGCGGGAGUUCUAGCAGCUUCAAAAUACAUUUCAAUUGUCUGAAUCCAUGAAUCAGUGCCCACACCAUCAAAUUCUGGAAUGUUGUAUUUAGCAGGCUUAACCAGUGUUAGUGGUCUUCUGUUGUCUUGAGGAGUUCCCACUCUCCUGUCAAGGUUAUUAGAAGGCCCAUCUCUCUGGUCACUGUCCAGGUGGAUGAUCUGUUGAGGUUGAGUGGCUGCUGGUUGAAACCUGACAUCUUGAGGCUGCUGUUUCUCAGCAAAGUUAGGGUGUCUGUAAGGGUUUUUAAGACUGCCAUCAAGAUUCAGCUCUUUUCCUGUGUGUUUGUCAACUAGAGUGGCUGAUCCUACUGUAUCUGGGGAUUUCAGAUGGUCUAACCCUCUGUUGCCAGGUCCUUGUGGUGUGUUGGCUAGAACACUAGCUUGGGGAACAUCCAAAGGGUUGGGAGGGUUAUCCUUGGGUUUUGGGAAACCAGAUAGGAAUCCAGACAGGGUACCUUGGAGAUCUGCCAGGGUCUUUUGUACUGAGCUAAAAUUGGUGUGCACAUAGUCUCUGAAUUCCUCAAACUCCAACUUGUCCUGCUCUCUAUUCUUUUGGAGCAACUGGACGUCUAACUGCAGAGAGUUGAACUCCAGCUGGUCUGUGGAACAGGAGUCCCCAGGGUUUGCCAUCGCAGAAGAAGUUCAGAAGGGUGUACUGGCACGGAACCAGUUACCUUUCUGUGGAGAUUAUCAGGCAUGAAAAAGGGGGAAUUUUACCACAGCUGGAGCUGCAACCACACCUUUUGUGCUGAAAUCCUGUCGCCGCCUUCACCACUCCAACGCCCGCCGCCGAGUACACCGGAUCUAGGUGGGAGGUGGGAUUUUACAGCGCAAGCAGGGAGCUUGUGCAACCACUUACCAGCACCAAACAUGUACCGAAUUUAUCACCGUCGCCCGCGCCACCGGUAUCCACCGCCGCCGCGAUCCGAGGAGAAGAGGGGAAUUUUACGGCACCUCCAACCCCUUUUUCGGCCUCGAGAUCGUUGACGCCGUCAAGAAUCAGAGGCUCUGAUUACCACUUGUUAGACCCAACUAUCUCUCUAAGAACGAUCAGUGAAGAACACAUGAACUCGGGGAGAUUACUGCUCGAAUUUAAUGGGGUUCUUGUUGCAAAUAGAGGAACCUAAGCCGGCCAGGGACACUGGCGGCGCAAGGGGGAACCCUAAAAGAGAUUACAUGCUCCACGAGCUGGAAUUCAAUGGCUUUAUAGCCUUACACGCAGUAAAAACGAAAAAGGUGGCGGUAGAAAGCUUGCCGGCGAUCGGCGCUGGUGCCGGAAGGCUAUAGCGACGCGGGGGUGGCUCGCAGCUGUUGGAUCUCCCAUCGAUGGUCGUCAUCUCGUCCGACAAGCGCGAAGCGGUACAAAGGCACGGAGAGCGCAGGAUCCACGAUUAGCGGUUGCGGUAGCUUGGUGCCAACGUUUGAAUUUAAAAGGGGGCCGCGUCUUCUUCUCUGGGUCCUGACACGGCCUGCACCCCGGAGACUGCCCACGGGGUGCACUUGUUCAAGAUCAACUGGUACAGCCUCUACAGGGAAUUGGGCGUCGACGGGUUGAUCCAGUCCUCGACCUUCGCCGUCGGCGGCUACAACUGGUCCGUGAACUUCUACCCCGACAGUCGAACGGGGGUAUCCAAAGACCAUGUUUCGGCUUUCGUGGAGCUCAAAACCAAGAACGCCAAGGCCAGGGCGGUUUUCGAUCUGAGCUAGUUGACGGUCUCACACAGCCUUAUACAUGGCCAAACCCUAGCGACGUAGGCCCCGCGGAGUUUGACUCCAGUGAUGAUACGGCGGCCUGGGGUUUCCGUGACUUCUUGAAGAAAAGCGAGCUCGAAGAUUACAUCCUGGACGACGCCCUUCUCAUUGGUUGCAAUCUUGUUGUUAUCAAAUUUAACAAGGCACGGGUGCAGACUGAGAUGAAGUUUGAGGUCCAUGUUCCACUGUCGAACUUGCUGGACCAUCUUGGUAAUCUGCUAGAAACACAAGAGGGGGCCGAUGUGUCUUAUAAGGUCAGGGGAGAGGUUUUCCCAGCUCAUAAGAUCAUCCUCGCAAUGCAGUCACCGGUCUUCAAGGCUCAGUUCUACGGUCCGAUGAAGAACAAGUGCGGGCGUAGCAUAGCCAUUGAAGAUAUGCAGCCUGCUGUUUUCAAGGCACUGCUCCACUUCAUCUACACAGAUUCUUUGUCCCUAAUGGAUCGCCUCAAUGAUGAUGACUAUGUGGAGAUGCUUAAGCAUCUACUAGUUGCGGCAGACAGGUAUGCCAUGGAAAGGAUGAAGUUCAUGUGCGAAAGUAAGCUUUGUGAUAGACUUUGCGCCGAGAACGUGUCCGGCUGUCCGCCAUGUUGGCUCUAGCGGACUGGUAUCAUUGUAGCCAGCUCAAAGAUGGUUGCAUCGAAUUUAUCAACUCUUCUAACAGAAUGAAUGAUGUGGUGGCAAGCAAAGGGUAUAAGCACCUCAAAAGGACAUGCCCUACUAUUGUUGUUGAUAUAUGGGAGAAAGCAGCUAAGACUCGCAAAAUUCAGCACUCUGACCGUGGUUUAAUUUGAGCAUAUAGUCACUUCAGCUGAGACCGUAGCAAUCUGAGAUAAGUUUAUCUCUAUAUAUUGUUGAUAUUUUGUAAGUCCUCAGAGAUCCUACUGUGAAAUGUGGUGAAACUUUAGCAAAUAGCAGUAAUAUGUCAAGUUAUUCAGAAAAAUUAAUGAUUGGUGCCUACUAUUUAUGCUGUGGAGAUGCUACCUAAUGUAGAAAACAUGUGUUGUUUCCAAAACCAGUUUUGUUUAGUCAGCCUCACUACUCUUUGCUUUUCCUAAUCAAGUAGUACAAUCUUUACAUUGUUAAACCAAACAACGUAAAGAAACACUAUUUCACUUGCUAAGAUAUUCGAUAGCUAGCACAUCAGUUGUUGCCCUGCUAUGUUCUUCAGCUUAACUUCAAGUUUCAGUGACAAAAAAUAAAGCAAAAUUCAGUUGUGUGUUCUUAGUGCAGAAAUUUUCUGUCAAUAUAUUGGCCUAGAGUCUGCAAUUGCAAGCUAACAAGAUGCCUAGUUGUCUCAGAGGGAGAUUUACUUGGCAUAGCAAUGUACUGCUGCUUCCUUCGCUUUUAUGGUUGCAUUUUUCAUUGAUCUCGUUUUCUAAAAAAUGACUCAGCAAGCUACGUUACUUCAACCCAAACUGCCAAACAUGGGUCACUUUACCUAAAUUAUUUAUGAAUGUGUAACACUGGUAGUCAUAUCAAAGCGGAGCCUCCUGGCUCGUGACACACGAAGGAUUGGCGUACGCUCUUGCUCCUGGUUUGUUGGAUGCUCUGGAAACACCGGAAUAUCGUCGUCUCCGACAACCCGUCCACUAUGAUGGUGCUAGCGAUGAUCCUUGACGAGGGGAAGACUUGGCAUCUUGCUGGCCUCUUAGUGCGGAUGUUGAGGGGUUCUUGCAGAGGUUGUAUCUGUGGGCUAGCAGCAGGGAGUAGUCAGGUUAGCCUAGGUGAGGUAGAGCUCCCGUUUGUUUGUGGAGCUCGUGUUGUGUUUGUUGGUGCAGCCCUAGGCUGCACCCUCUGUCUCUUCGACCUCUGCUCUCGCACGAACAAGGACAUGAGGUGGGAGACGACGACAGGAGUAGAGACACGGGAAGUUUUUUUGCCGACCGGCGCACGGAGCGCCGCCUACGGGCGCUCGAACGCCCAAAUCCUUUUCUUAACUCACUCAUAUACAAGCAGUACACGGGGUGGUUGUAUAGGCAGAGCACGCACGCCACGAUCCACUCCUGCCCACGCACGCCCACCAUGUGCUCCACUGCGCAUGCAUGAUCUGCUCGCCCGGCCGCGCGCAUGGCGCGCCACUACGCGCACUACACGGUCAGUUCCAACAGAUUGCCUCGCUCUCCGUUACCCUCGCCAACGGCCACACACCAGCUCCGACCUCAGCCAGAACAGACACAAGUGCAGACUCAUGCACACACAUACGCGAUCAUGGUUUAGUGGCUAACAGUGUUUGCACUGUCGUGCGCUAUUGUACAACCUUGUGGACGGGCUCUUUCCCACUUCUCUCUUAAUUGAUGAUACAGUGCGUCCUAAAAAAAUAUUCAUAUCACCCCACUUCAGAGCUUCAUGGUCAGGUUGUCUUCACAUAUAGAAUGGCACAUGCAUGUGGUUCAAAUAGCUCUCACCAUCUCACGUGUAUGCCUCCUUAAAUACGAAUGUAAAACCUUCUAGUUCUAUAGAAACAUAUCUUUUAAAGUAUUCGUUGGAGGUUGACCACCAAUGAUACUUUCUCAGUGAAAUCAAUGUACGACCAUAUUAUUGAUACGUCGUCUAUUCCAAAGUCCAUGCAUAUUUGGAAGGUCAAGGUUUCCUUUAAGAUAAAAUUUUUCAUGUGGUUUGUUCACAAGGGAGUUGUUUUAACUAAGGAUAACUUGGCUAAAAGAAACUGGAAAGGAAAUAAAAGAUGUAGCUUCUGUCAAACGAAUGAGUCGAUUAAACACCUCUUUCUGGAUUGCCCUAUGGCUAAAUUAGUAUGGCGCUCAUUACAAAUUGCUUUCAACAUUACCCCGCCUACUAGCAUUCGCAUGUUAUUUGGGACGUGGCUAAACGGGGUUAAUGUACUUUAUGCCAAACUAAUUUGGGUUGGAACUUGUGCCUUGUUGUGGGCGAUAUGGAACUGCAGAAAUGAUCUAGUUUUUAACAGAUUGCAUCACAUUAACUUUUUGCAGGUCAUCUUCAGGGUUACCGCCUUAAUCCGCACGUGGUCCUUACUCACUCCUGUGGAAACCAGGGAGCCUUUGGUUACUGGGUGUGUCCGAUGGGAGAUGGUAGCUCAGGUUAUCUUCAACCAAUAUGGAUGGCGGCAUGCUAAUAGGAUUGGUCCUUAGUCCAGCUUAUCCGAGGGUUGUAGUCGGUUUUUCGGUGGUCUGAUCGCCGUGUAACUUCUUUUUUCUUGUUUUUCUCAUUACUCGGACUACUUUGUAUUUUUUCUCGGACUAUUCUGCGUUAUUAAUAAAAUGGUUGUAUGCAUCACUUGAUGCAGAGGCCGGGGCAACGCCUCCUUUUCGAAAAAAUCUUUUAAAGUGUGACCCACAAAAAGAAAGUCAAGUACGACGAAAAACCUUGUAGUUGUCUUUAAAAUUGUCACUAUGUUUUCUCUUUCCUGCGCCACUCAUUAGUAUUUCCACUCUAACAUCAACAAAUGAGCAAGUGUAUAUUCUUUCAAAAAAAAGUGAGUGUAUUUUAAAAACAUUUUUGGUUUUCAAAUAAAGAGUUCAUCAAUUAUAUAUCUCUAGCAUUCAGGUCCAGAUAAUGCAAUCACCUUACCUCUCUGCCCACCCGAGAAUUUAUUCGUAUAUGUGGGGAUGUAGACAUGGACGACGCACCCUUUACUUGGGUCUUAAUACUUGCGGCUCAACUUUGGUGCAGUCGGAUAUUAUGAACUUGGAUCUUUCACUUAGUUAUUGUCAUCAUGCUAGAUGGGGUCGAUCAUCACUUUUUUUUAGAAAAAGAAGAAGACCUCCGGCCUCUGCAUCUGUGCGAUGCAUGCAGCCAUUUUAUUAAUUAUUCACAAAGACCUUACAAAGUAAUACAUCUGUAAGACUUAAGCCACCGUCUAGACUAUGUCGCUACUUCUAUACAGUUGAUGAAGGGAUGCUGAUAGUCUGGGCCUAAUACCAAACAGACCUCGCAGCCAAACCUAACAUCUAAGACCUGAUGCCCCAACCAAGCCACCUGCCGGGUAUGGGGCACCCACCGGUCCGGCGCAUACUCAGAGGUCGCCGCCGCCAACUGCCAUCAAUCCAUCUUCAGAACUGUACUGACGCAUCCACCUUACCCGGUCUAGCUGCCGUCGACGCCACCACGAUGCCAGACAACGUCACCCUCCUGCCCAAGUCCAUCCUCGCACAUCAGACGCCUAAUCACCAGGGCGCCACGCCAUCGAGAUUCGUCGCCUUCAAUGUGCAGGAUGAAGCACCGCUCCACCGAAGAAAACAUCCGCUGGUCCCCCGAACCCGCGUACACCUCCAAGAAUGACGCCCCCAAGGGGGAGACGACACAAGCGCGUCGCCGUCUUCUGAUUUAUCGAUCUAGAGUUUCCCCCGGAGGUAGCAGAUAGUGGUCUAGAACUUCUCCUCGGCGAUGCCUUCAAGAAGGGAACGACACCGUAGAGCGUCGCUAUCGCCGGCCUUGGCAUCUAGCCAAGAGUAGGUUUUGACCCAGAUCUAUUCGGAGAACUCCAUCCAGCUUCUUGUCCACGGGUCGCCGCCUUCUCUGCUGGAGACCAGAUCAAAGGAUCUAGCCGCCGCCGCCUGAACGGCCGAAGCACCACCACGGUGCCAAAGCAGCCCGACACUGACUGGACUGCGAGUGGGAAGACGGAGACUGCAAAGGUGACGCAUUCAAGAAGGUAACGACGCAUAGGCGCCGUCGUCACCCGCCACGACCGAAGUCGGAUCACGGAUUUCACCGACAGCCGCCCGUCCCCACUCCAUGCACAGCCAGCUGGCCGACCACCUCCGACGAAGAAGAAGGCCACCACCACCAAGCCUAGGGCUGGCGCCCCAGACAUCCUCGUGUUGCAGAUCAAGUCCAUGAGCAGUGCACCGCUGACGGCGAUUGAGAUCGGUAGCCAUGUCAUAGCCAUGUCACCAUCUUUGAAGACCGCUCUCUACUGCAUUAUCCUUUGAGCAUUUCCAUAGAGAGGAUAACAUAUAUGCUCAUAUGUUCAUCAUUUUUGCUAAUGGUACCAUGGUCUACGCCCACUUCCCUCCCACCUCCCCUGUUUUUUCCUACUUCUUGCCACUUGAUCCCGCCUUGGCCUACUAGUUACAUCACCAUGCCAUUAGCUCAGUGUAUCAAUUGGCAUGCCAUACUCGAGGUUCAUGGGCAAUGUUAAACACUACCCCUCCCCCAAAAUAAAACACAUACACAUCGGCCAUCCUUCUAAGUUAGGACGACCCAAGCUAUUUUGUGUGCCUUGUGAGUUCUGGCACCUUGUACUCUAACCUCUACUAUGGUGCCAGUGUUCACUAUUAGGGAAAAGCUUAGCAGUAGUGUGGUUUUUAAGGCUAUUAGUAGCAUGGAGUACGGUGCUACAGCUAACGUUGAUCAGUAGCGCGCUUUGGCACGCGCUACUGUUAUAGCUACUUAGCAGUANNNNNNNNNNNNNNNNNNNNNNNNNNNNNNNNNNNNNNNNNNNNNNNNNNNNNNNNNNNNNNNNNNNNNNNNNNNNNNNNNNNNNNNNNNNNNNNNNNNNNNNNNNNNNNNNNNNNNNNNNNNNNNNNNNNNNNNNNNNNNNNNNNNNNNNNNNNNNNNNNNNNNNNNNNNNNNNNNNNNNNNNNCUUAGCAGUAACGUUUUUCUUUUCAGCGCUAAAGAGCGCUACUACUAUAUUUUCACAUAUCUUUUUUUUUGCUACGUAUUUACGAUGUCUUUUACAGAUUUUAUACAGUAUUCUAUGAUGAGCAUAUUGUCAGUUUAUGAUAUGAUUAUCAUACACAUAAUGGUCUCAUCAUACCAUCCAACACAAAUCAUGUCGUCACAUCAUAAUCAUGAUAUAGCUAUACAAGGUACAUGGCAUGUCUCAUCAUACAUAAUGUAGUCUUUCUUGAGGCACUGGUUCGUAUCCCUCUCUCGCACUAGCAUGAACCUAAACUAACUACUUUCUGCUUCUGCUCUGCUAUCUAACCCUCUCUGGCUGUCGCUCGGAAACCGGUACACCUGGGCAUGAAACUCCGGUCACUCGUCGUAUACUCCUGGCGUAGCACUUCUUCGCCAUCGAUGAUCUAUGUACCUGUAUCAUCACAUGAGUCGAUAAUAUGCAACAUAUAUAGUUGAGCAACAGAAAGAGACAGAAUUGGCAAAAAUAAAAACAACAUCUCAUAAGCAUAAAUAACAAAGUUCAUAGUACCCAAAAUGCCCUAACUAGAGUGUUCUUCGCUAGUUGAGGAGGACUUUGCUAAAAGAUGGACAAAUCGAGUACCUGAAAUUUGCAGGAACGGAAAUGAAUCAACAUUCCGGCAAAUCAUAGGCCCCUCGGCUUCAUUCCCUGGAAAAACAAUAAAAGGCCACUUGGGCACAAUCGAAUCACUUCAAUGUUUCAUAUAACAGAACCACUUAAGGACAUGUACAUGAGCAACUACAACAGUAGAUAAACAUGAGCAAACACUAUUGAGGAAUUUACAUAUAACAUGACCACUUCAAAUUUGCAUCUCCUAGUGUUUGACACUUCAAGAAAAUUUACACAAAUCUCAUGCUGUCUCAAACUCAAUUCAAUAACCAAAUAUAGAUGAAUGAACCCUAGAAACCUAGAACCCUUACAUAUAUUUAGUUAAGUACUUAAGCAUAUAUACAAAUUUGGUAUAAGCUUGGCCGUGUGGUUCAAGCAAUUGAGUUUGUGUUCGUCACUAAGCCAAUGAUGGUACUUGUACAAAGGAAAUUAUAUUGGUCGGACCACAUGCGCCAACAUGACUUGUUUAAGGUGUUCCAUCACACUGACCAUAGUAUAGGCAGCAAAAUUGCUAAGCAGAUGGGGAGGGAGGACCUAUGGGACUCCACGUUCUACUCCUCGUCGACCCGUGCAUCAGAAGAUAUCAUUCACAAGGUAUUGGAACUAGUGUCGACAACAUUGGGUCUUCCUAAAGCAACAAAGGAUGUCUGCAAUUACAUGUUUUUUCUGCUGGCCGCAUGUCCCUACAUGUUGCCUUACCCUGUUACCCGCCAGGGAUAUGUCCAGUUGUGCCAUGAUUCCAUCAAUCAUCAUCUGAGAGGCUUCUACGCCUAUGAAAUGCUCCAAGCCAUAUUGGACCUAAUUAACCUAGUAAAACCCUACUUCCCUAACUAAAACAUCUAAUUAACAGCUACUAGUACCACUACUACCCUAACCUAAUUAACAUCUACUAGUACAACUAUAUAUACUACUAGCAGCACCUAGUUAGUUAACCUAGUUAGUUAACCAAAUUGACCUGUUAGUUAACCUAGUUAGUUAACCAAAUUGACCUAGCUAGUUUACUUAGUUACUUAACCUACCUAGUUAACCUACUUAACCUAGCUAAUUCCUAGGGUUCAUAACUAAAUUCACCUAAGUUAAUUAACCUAGAGAGGAGGUGUAGGGCUUACCGAGAGGCAGUGGCGUUGAGGGUGGCUCUGGUAGCAUCUACGGCGGCUUCGGUGACGACGAGGGAGGCAGGGGCGACGAGGAGCGGACGAGGGUGGCUCCGGGGCGACAAACGCUACUACUAAGAUUCUGUGUAUAAGCCUUUUCCUAGUAGUGAUUGUCUUCUGCGAGUCCCGGGCUCACCACUAUUCCCCAAUUCUCAAUGAACUUGUGCAAGAAAUAACAGAAGUGAGAGAUACUAAAAAUGGUUAGAUGUUCAAAUCUAACCAUGUUUGAAAAAUUAAAGUAGAUGCAAAGAAAAUCAAUUGUGUUCGAGUCAAAAUUGGGAGACGUGAGUGCAAAGAAGAAAACUCCCAAAUCAUCAAAUCCUAGCCCCUCGAAUCACCUCGACGACACUAUCGUUCCCAUCCGGGGCCGCCUUUCCCCACCUUUGAGCCAUCCCUGCCAGUUAGAUCGUGUUAUCACCACUCUCCAUGCCCGCUACUCCAAUCGAGAAAUGGACGCGCUGCGAGACGAACGAUGACAACCUGGACCUGCACCCCAUACAUUGCGGAUGGCACACGCUUGUUCAUAAGGUGAUGUUGAUUGUGUACUGGUUGCAAUAUUUCUGCCAUAAUCAUUGUGAAGAAUGUUAAAAGAUAAAUCAACCCUGACACCUUGCUAUGUUAGAGGAAGAACAAAGAGAAAUGUCUAGCAUGAAGAACGUGUGGAAGCCCAACCCAUACAAUGAAUUCUUUAAUAAAUUCAUAAAUAAAACAUACUGGAAAUCCGAAAGCAAAUUUUUACUCUUAUAUUGAAUUCAAAUUAGACUAUGUUUGGAUGUAUGGAUUGGAGGGUAUAAUAUUGCAUUGGGCUGAAUACAAAUUCACCAACGAGACUGAAAUGAGUUUGAAUAAGUGUAUGGUUGUUCACUCAAUUGGCUCAUGGAAUCUUAUAGUUAUGCUUUAAUUUCCAAUAAUGACAUACUUCGGAAUCGCAUAGAUACAUGAGUGUGAAGAUUAUGCUUUGUUCAAUGUGUAGGAAAUUCUAGUGGUAUCACAGUAGCUAACAAGGACAGCAAUACCAUUCAUCCAUCUCUCUCUCUCUCUCUNNNNNNNNNNNNNNNNNNNNNNNNNNNNNNNNNNNNNNNNNNNNNNNNNNNNNNNNNNNNNNNNNNNNNNNNNNNNNNNNNNNNNNNNNNNNNNNNNNNNNNNNNNNNNNNNNNNNNNNNNNNNNNNNCUCUCUCUCUCUCUCUCACACACACACACACACGUCGGAGCUGCUGUGUUAAGAGAGAAGCGAAGUCUGUGCCCUCCCGCGGCGUUGCUCCACCAGGGGCGCGGGGCUCCGGCAUCCCCUGGGUUGGUGUGGCGCAGGAAAAAACCAGGGUCGAACGCAUGAAGGUCAUCCAGGAAUCGCGCGCCUGGCCUCGUGGUUGAGCUCAUGGGCCGAGCGAAGCGGUACGCUUUGCAGGCCAAGUCAAUUUCAGAGCAAUAUAAAGUGGUGCGGCUUGGUACCCAGGAAGGAAUACCCUAUUUAAAGCAUCUCUCCAACAGGCGUGCUUCGACCGACGUCCAAAAAACGGAUUUACAGCGCGCGGUUAGCUUUUUUUAAGGCGCCGACGAGCGCCGGCUCCAACGACCGCAGCAUACUUAGCGCGCGCUGCAAAAUAACACCCAAAACUUAUCCAACACGCUAUAUAUAGUUCAUUGUUGUCGUCACACCAACACGAUAAAACAUAUAGAUAAUAUAGAUAAUAUAUUACAUAUAGAUAAUAAAACUAGUCCAACACAUAGAUAAUAAACUAGUCCAACACGAUAAUAAAACUAUUAUAGAUACAUAAAACUACUCCGAGUCGUCACUGUGGGUGUUGUUCGAGGUAGAUAGCCAUGCGUCCUCCCAACGUUCAUCGUCAGAAGUGAAGAUGGAUGGCAAACCGUUGUUGACGGCCACACACUGCGAUAUAGCGAGUAACUUGCACCGACGCCUGUCCUGCCGCUCCUCGCGACGCCUUGCCUUCCUCUCCGUCCAGAAGGCGUUCUCGGCAGCGACGUCCUCCGGAUGGCGCCAGCACCACUCCGCCAUGGCUCACUCGUCCUCCUCGGCGACGAGCAGGCGCUGCUGCUGCUGACGAUGCUCCGCACGGUCUUGCUCCGUGAUCAGAUGAGGGGGAGGACGAGGGCCUGCGCCUGCUCGCACGUGUAGACGUCGUAGAAGUUCAUCUGCACGCGAGGCCUUCCUAGUCGCCACGCCGCCACGUCGUACGCGCGGGCGGCCUCAUGCACGGUCUCGAACGUGCCGAGGCCGACGCGGACGUCGCCGGACCGGUUCUCGGCGAAGUAGGUGUCGGAGGGGCGCUUGCGGACGCCGCGGUAGCCCGAGGAUGCACGGCGGCGCGGCGGCAUGGUGGCAGAGGGAGCGGCGAGGGAGUGGUAGAGGAAGAGGCAGAGGAAGCGACGAGGAAGAGGCGCGUGGCUAUGAGCAGCCGCGUGGCGGGCGCGGUAUUUUAUAGCACGCUGAAAGCGGUGCGCCAAAUCUGACGCGCGGUCACCCGCUUUCUCCCGCGCGCGCAGUAGUUUACCGCGCGUUUUUUUUGAUUCGUCCACUGAGCGACUUUGUCCCGCGCGCGCGUUUUUUGCCACCAUUGUUGGAGAUGCUUUGAACACGCUUUGCGUAAACUACCGGCGCUUCGCACAGAAGAUCGACCGAGCGGCAAGCGCUAUGAGUCGGCCCAGUUUUACAUGGACAGUGCACGUACAACCGCAACUAGCCAGCCGGUUUUGGAACCUUCUAGAAAUUUUCCUGCAUCUGUUUCUUCUACUUCAGUUUUUUUCGUUUUUCUCUUUCUCCUUUUGUUUCUAUUUCUUCUUUCUUUUUUAUUUUGUUCCUCUUUUAGCCUUUUUUUCCUUUUACUUUUUAAGGUUAUUUAUCAUUUUUCAAAUAAUUUCAUGCUUAAAAAUUGUUCUUAACAUUGGAAAAAUGUACUUGCUUUUAAAAAAAUCAAAUAUAUUUUCUUUUUCGAAAAGUAUUCAUAACUUCAAAAAAGUUCCAGUUUUUCAUAACUUCUUAAAAUUGUUUGCAUUAUUUCAAAAAAUUCCCUAGUUAAAAAAUUGUUCGGUACACAAGUUUAAUAAAUAAAUACAUAUAAUACACAAGUUUAAAAUUCGUUCCGUUUGAUAAUAUUAUUCCUAACUUAAUUAAAAUGUCCGAAUUUGAAACAUUGUUUGCAAUUUCUUAAGUAAUGUUCAGUUUAUGCCGUAAAAUUUAGUACUUUAUAGUUCGCGCUGCACAUUAUGUAUAUACAAUAUUCAAUAGGUGGACUCAUGGUCAAGCAGGAACUCUGUAGUUUGGAUUUCUCGUUGAAGGCUUCAAUAGUACUUGGACUGGCCCAUUCACGCAUGGUAAUAAAUGGAAAAAGAAGACAAAAAUGGAGCGGGACGGGAUUCAAACCUUGGUCGCCUUGUUUGUAGCAAGCGCAGCUAACCACUAGGAUUUGCCUUAGAUUCGUGACAGAGUAGCCGAGCGUUUCUUUUCCCUUUUUUCAUGUUUUCUUUUUCGUAUAUUUCUUUCCUUUUUAAAAUUCUUUUCUGCAUUUAGUUUCUUUUUUUAUUUACUUUCUUCAUUUUCUUUAUUUUUUCGUUUUCUUUGUUCUUUGGUUAUUAUUUACAUUUUUGCAUAUGUCAAUAACAUUUUUGCUGCGUUCAUCGUCGCGGGCGGCUCGGGCCGGCACGCAGGAGAGCGUGACCGUAGGCAGCGUCCACGUACGCCUGAGCGAUCGUGUGCCGCAAGGUACACGCGAGUCGGGCAUUCUCGGGCCUAGGCCCGCGUGUGAGGCCACGGCCCCGCAAGGAGAAGGCCCGCGUGGUACAGGGUGCGGCAGUAGGGCUUCGACGUUAUCCCCACCCGCACCUGCAGUGUCGCCCAUUCCCGAUCUCUCCUCCCUCCUCGGCCACUUUUGGGGGAAAACUAGGGUUUCGUCACCUAGGGUUUCACCCUCGUUCGGCUGGUGGGAGGGGAAGGUGGGUGGAGACAGCAGAUCGUUCGCUGAGGUGACAGCAUCACCACCGCGGCAUCCACCCAUGGCCGGCCGAGAGAUGGGAGGUCGCGGGUUCCGCGGAGAUGGAGGUGGCGAGGGUCGUUCGGGCGCGGCGGAGGUGGUGGUCGGAUCGGGCCUGGAGGAGGUCGCGGCCUUGGCGGAGGCGGAGGCGGUCGUAACAUGGUGUGGAUGCGCGAAGCCUAGGAUGGCGGACAAAUCUCCUCCAACGUGGAUCCGCGCCACGGCGGUUCUGACAAGAGUAGAUGGGAGGCGGCCAUGGAGGUGCAAGGAGGAACCCGCGGGGAGAAGUGGGGCGACAACAGCACCCAGGUUGCCGCAGGCGGAUCUGCGGGAGGGCGCCUUCAAGAGACGCGUCCGCAACAACACCCUGCUGAUCGUCGACAUCCCACCCCCGGCAAGAGGAACGCCUCUCGACUAGUGGGGGGCGCCGAGGUUUGCGUUACUUGCAGAGAUCCUGGACACCUACCUGCUUAUUGUCCGCGUGCUGUUUGUGGUAGAUGUGGGAUUCAUGGGCAUUUGGCUCCGGUUUGCAAUACUGUUCUUCCUUGGGAAUGUGUAGCACCCAUGUGUGGGUUCCAGGCAGAGGGAAAAGGCUUUUUCUAUGUCCAUGAUUAUAGUACUCCUAGCCAAACUACUGAUAGGAACAGAUUUAUUGUGAUAUCUGUGGUAGAAGGUCAUGCAUCUGGUAGACAGCUGGAGGAAUUCUUUAAUUCUUACAUCAAUACUAACUGGAGGUGCUCGGCCAGAUCUAUUGGCCCUAAUACCUUUGUUAUGAGGUUCCCAUCUCCUAGGGAUGUGGAUAAAGCCUGCUUUGCUGAAAGUAUGAAUGCUAAGAGUUGUGGUGCUGUUAUUAAUUUGAGAAAAUGGUCUGAAUCUGUGGGGGCCAAAGGGGUGCUGAAUGUUGCUUGGGUUAAUGUGAGUAAUAUUCCUCUGGAUAAGAGACAUGAGAAGAACAUUGCUUAUGUGGGAUCUCUUGUGGGAGUAACCCUGGAGAUUGAUAAAGCUACUAUUAAUAGACCUGAAUCUGUUAGAAUCAAGUUGGGCUGUAGAGAUGCUGAGGAUAUCCCUGCUUCAGCAGAAGGGGUGUUGGGGGACACUUUUAUGAUUUCUUUUAUUCUGUUGAUAAAAUCCUGAUUAAAAAUCCUCCAAAGGAAAGAAUUGGAAUACAACAUGAAAAUGAGGAGGGUAAUGCUGCUAAAAAAGCUAGAUUCAAUACUGAGACCCCUGGGGAAAAAAUAUUGCAUCAUCAUCUAAUAUGGGGGAGUCUUCGGCUCCCCUGGGAACAACUGGUGGAUAUUAUGGAAAAAAUGUGGUGAUGAAACCUGUGGAAGAAUGUAUGGAAGAGGAAAAAAACAUAAUGAGAGUGAGGACGUGUUGUCUGAAGAAGAGAGUGAUGAAAUGGGAAAUGAGCUACUUAUUGAUACUAUGGUGAAAGAGGCUGAGAAAAAUCAGAGGGAUGAUGAAGGGGGAGAUGAAAGGGGAAAUGUGGAUUCUAGAAGGGUAUUCUAUGAUGAAAUUACUGUGAAUUCUCUGCAGAUUGUGCCAAGCUCUAUAUCUUUUCCUAGCAAAAAAUUCUUAUCUUAUCUUGAUGCAUGUGUGGGGGAACCUGUGGUGACUGAGAUGGAUCCUACUGACAUCUAUGAUGAUCAAAAAAAUCAAUCCUAUCUGGUGCAAUCCCCUGAUAACUCUAGUGAGCAAGUGGAAGUGAUCCCUACUCCCCCUGUGAGGGAGGAAAUACAAACCAGAUAUAGCAAGAGGAAUGUAGGAGGCAAUAUGGAACAUAUGGGACUCAGAGCUGAGAGACUGGCACAAAAAAGAGACCUGCAAGGUAAUAGCAUAUCUCAUGUGAAUUCUUUUGAAGUUUUAUCAAAUCUUGAGAUUAUAUCUGCUGCUGUUAAAAUGGGUGUUAAUAUUCCUGAUGAUGAUUUUGAUUCCAUAGAUAUCAUUAGAGAACUUGAGAUAUCUAGAGCUAACAUUGCUAAAAAAGUUGAUGAAAACAAUAUUCAACAGGAUGUGGUUUUGUUGCUUACUAAUGCUGCUGGGGAAACAUCUCUAGUAGAUACUCAGUGGGGAGGGGAUGAGGAUUUAGAUAUUGAUGACUUUACUGUGGUUAGAUCCAGGAAAAAAGAGAGGAAAAAAGUUAAUGUUACUAUAUCUAAACCUAUGACUAGAAGUCAAAAACAGAAAAUGGGAGAUGGUGCAGGUAAGGCUAUGGAUCCUGGCAAACCUAGCACCAAAAAACAUAAUACCAGAAAUAGAAAAAAUGAUUAGUGGCUUUUGGAAUUGUAGAGGGAUUGGUAAAAGAGGCAUGGGGACAUAUAUCUCUGACUUGGUCAGGGAUUUUAAGCUUGAAUUUAUUGGGAUUCAGGAAACUAUGAAGAAGGAUUUUUCACCUAAAUUCUUGAGAAAGAUUGAUCCUGGAGAAAUUUUUAGUUGGAGGUGGAUCCCUUCGAAAGGAAAGUCAGGUGGGAUAUCAGGAGGCUUUAGAAACAAUGUUUUUGAUCUUGUGAAUUGUGUGGAGGGCAAAUACCUUAUGAAUUUCGAAUUAUGGAACAAGAUUCUUAAGAUGAAAUGCUGUAUUAUGGUGGUGUAUGGAUCAGCUCAUGAAGAAUUUAAAACUGAUUUUCUGACAGAGUUGGCGGCUACGUGUAGUCACAUUACCUAUCCUUACAUUGUGGGAGGAGAUUUUAAUAUUCUUAGAUUUGUGGGGGAGAAAAAUAAGAAAGUGAAAUUAGGACACUCUUCAGAUCUUUUUAAUUCCAUUAUUAAUGCUCUUUCCUUGCGAGAGGUGGAUAUGGCUGGUGGCAUGUUUACUUGGUCUAAUAAUCAACAUAAUCCCACAUUGGAGAAACUGGACAGAGUAUUCAUGUCCAAAUCCUGGGAACAUCUGUUUCCUUUCACUUUUGUUAGGAAGAUUGUUAGAGAGAUGUCGGAUCACUGUCCCCUGAUCCUUAAUACUGAUGAUAAUGUUCCCAUUAAUUUUGGUAAGAGGGAGUUUAGAUUUGACCUGAACUGGUUAAACAAACCUGAUUUUCAUACAGUGGUUGCUAAAAUCUGGAUGCAGCCUGUCUAUUCUGAUAAUCCUAUUGACAUUUUGAAUAUCAAAUUAAAGAGAUUCAAGAAGUAUUUUAAAGGGUGGGCUUCAAGUAAUUUUGGUCAUGCGAGGAAAAGAAGGAAGUGGCUUAGAGAGGAAUUAGGUCGUAUUGAGGAGUUGCAAGAAAAUGGUGUUUUGAAUCGUGAGCUAUAUUGCAAGAAAGUGGAAAUGCAGGUUGAGUUAAAUGGUUUGCUACUGGAAGAGGAGGUAGCUUGGAUGCAGAAAUCACAUGACAGCUGGUUGCUAAAAGGGGAUAGUAAUACUAAGUAUUUUCAUAGGAUUGUGAAUGGAAGGAGGAGAAUAAACACUAUUGUGUCUCUUAGCUGUGGAAAUAUGAUUAUAGAAGGAAACAAGAACAUGCUUAAACAUGCUACUGAUUUUUAUAAAGAACUCUUUGGUCCUGCCCCUGGGAACUUGUGCAAUAUUUAUGAAGAUAUGUGGUGUGAUAAAGAGAAAUUGGGUGAUGUUGAAAACUUUCUCUUAAUUAGACCCUUUUCUGAUACAAAAGUGAAAAAUGCUCUGUUUUCUAUGAAACAUAACAAAGCCCCCGGGCCUGAUAAUAUACCUAUAGAAUUCGCCCUANNNNNNNNNNNNNNNNNNNNNNNNNNNNNNNNNNNNNNNNNNNNNNNNNNNNNNNNNNNNNNNNNNNNNNNNNNNNNNNNNNNNNNNNNNNNNNNNNNNNGAACCGGGACUAAAGGAUCCAUCUGUUUUUUUUUCGUUUGACCUGAAAAGGUAGAUUUUUUUAAUUUUUUUCAAAUUUUAUUUUUGAAUAUUUUUUAUGUUUUAUUCCAAUUUUCUAAUCUUUGAAUUAUUUGACAAUUUAAUCUCUAAUCAUCCAUCCUCACUGCUCUAGCGUGGAUCACUCAUUUCAAAUCGUCUAAUCUAACUUCUCGGCCGAUCACCCAUUCUUUCACCGCUUCAGCCCGAGCACGCUUAACUUUCUGGUUCUAUCGCCCCUAGUUGCCAAGUGUGCACUUGUUGUUUUUCUGACAAUAGUAAGCUAUCAAUCCUAAACAACUUGGGUCUUGAUGUCAUGUCACAUGNCAUUUGGAAUUUUGAGCAUGUGAGAAAACUUCACCGGGCAAGCCCGGGUGAAAUCGAGUACCAAUUUUUUCUAGUUUUUUUUUAUAUANNNNNNNNNNNNNNNNNNNNNNNNNNNAAGUUAUGGCCGUUUAUUUUUUUUCCUUUUUUUGCAAAAACGGUCAAAAUUCAUAUCUCAAAAUUUCUAUACCGACUAGACACUAAAACCUAACAACAUCUCNNNNNNNNNNNNNNNNNNNNNNNNNNNNNNNNNNNNNNNNNNNNNNNNNNNNNNNNNNNNNNNNNNNNNNNNNNNNNNNNNNNNNNNNNNNNNNNNNNNNNNNNNNNNNNNNNNNNNNNNNNNNNNNNNNNNNNNNNNNNNNNNNNNNNNNNNNNNNNNNNNNNNNNNNNNNNNNNNNNNNNNNNNNNNNNNNNNNNNNNNNNNNNNNNNNNNNNNNNNNNNNNNNNNNNNNNNNNNNNNNNNNNNNNNNNNNNNNNNNNNNNNNNNNNNNNNNNNNNNNNNNNNNNNNNNNNNNNNNNNNNNNNNNNNNNNNNNNNNNNNNNNNNNNNNNGUAGAUUUUUUUUUGUGCAUUAAAUAUGCACCAUACUACAACAUGUUAAAAUCUACAGAAAGAACUAACUAAAAAUAAUAAAAAACAACAAUUAAAUGACUAAAACAACUAUAUAAGCAAAACAAUAUUUCUUUAAUUAAAAUCCUAAUUUAAAUUAUUCUAAAUAUAACCAAAUAAAUCUUACUGUGACAACAAUCUAACACAUGAGUGGGAGCAAAAAGAAUUAAAUUAAAAACUAUUUGUAAACUCAAGUUAUUCAAAAACUGGGUUUGAAGCAAAUUUAAACAAAUUCAAAUUUAAACCAUUCAAAUUUGAAAACUAAUGGCACAAACAGAAACUAGACAAAAUUUUGAAUCUAAUGCAAAAAAGAAUCAAUCAAAAACAUCAAAUAUCCUAAAAGAUAUAAGCAAUUUAAAACAGAAACUACAAACAAGAAUUUAAAAACAGAAAAAAAACAUCUGAACACCUUUAGUCCCGGUUNNNNNNNNNNNNNNNNNNNNNNNNNNNNNNNNNNNNNNNNNNNNNNNNNNNNNNNNNNNNNNNNNNNNNNNNNNNNNNNNNNNNNNNNNNNNNNNNNNNNUUUCAAUCUUGCUGGUACAUUGUUAAGGGUGAUGUGAUGCCCCUUUUUCAUUGGUUCCAUGAAAAUAAGCUUGAUGUGGAGAGACUCAAUUAUGGUAUAAUAACGCUGUUACCUAAAGUUGUUGGAGCUGAUAAAAUGCAGCAGUUCAGACCCAUCUGCUUACUUAGAUGUAUCUACAAGCUGAUUACUAAGGUGUUAACUAUUAGAUUAGAACCCCAUGUGGACAUCUUGUUUAGUCGACACCAGAAUGCCUUUAUUAAAAAUAGAGAUAUUAUGGACGGGAUCAUGUCAUUACAUGAGAUCCUACAUCAUACUUAUGCUCAGAAAAAAAUAGGGAUUGUCCUUAAACUUGAUUUUGAGAAAGCAUAUGAUAAAGUCAACUCGGACUUCUUAUUGGAAUGCCAUACUAAAAGAAAUUUUAACCCACGCUGGAUUGAAUGGAUUAGAAGAAUUCUGGUGGGUGGUACUGUCAGUGUGAAACUAAAUGAUGAGGUGGGAGAAUAUUUCCAAAGUGCCAAGGGAGUGAGACAGGGGGAUCCUUUAUCACCUUUCCUUUUUAAUCUUGCUGCUGACUGCCUUACUAAGAUGGUCUUGAAAGCACAAGAUAAUGGCCUAUUUACUGGGCUAGCAGCAGACUUGGUUGAAAAUGGAGUGGCUAUCCUCCAGUAUGCAGAUGAUACUAUCUUGUGUUUUGAAGACAAUAUUAAGAAUGCCUUGAAUAUUAAACUGCUGCUUUAUCUUUUUGAGAUCAUGUCUGGUCUGAAGAUUAAUUUUGUGAAAAGUGAGAUUUUCUCGGUUGGUGCUGAUGAUGAUAUUAUGAGAAAAUAUGCUGAUAUGUUCAACUGUGAGAUUGGGACCUUUCCUAUUAAAUACUUAGGUAUGCCGGUCAGUUAUGCUGGGCUUAAAUGCAGUGACUGGUUUUUUGUUGAUGACAAGUUCAUCAGUCAUGGGGAAUCCUGGAUCAGUGAGUCUUUAUCUAGUGGGGGUAGACUUAUUAAGGUUAAUGUGGUACUGUCUCACAUCCCCUCGUACUAUAUGUCCAUGGCGUUGCUUAAGAAAUCAACGCUGGAAAAAUGGGACAAGCCGAGAAGAAAAUUCUUCUGGUAUCGCAAAGGAAGAAGAGGUUAUAAUAUGGUGAAAUGGUCACGUGUUUGUAGAUCUAAAACAAAAGGGGGCCUGGGGGUUAAAGAUCUGAGGAAACAGAAUAUUAGCCUGUUAACCAAAUGGUGGUGGAAAUUGGAAAAGAAGGAAGGUUUAUGGCAAGAUAUUGUGAAAGCUAAGUACCUCCAAAGGACAUCUGUAGCUAAAGUUAAACAGAAAGUUUCUGAUUCUCCUUGUUGGAAAAAUAUUAUGAAAGUUAAAGAAUACUAUAUGGCUGGUAGAGGGGUGGUGCUUAAGAAAGGUAACAUUGCUAGUCUCUGGCUAGAUGAUCUGGGUGAGAAUUUUCUGUUGAAAGAUAAAUAUCCUGAUCUCUUUGAAAUUUGUUUAGAUAAAGAUUGUACUGUGGAUAAAUUGGAAAGUAUGAAUCAUCUUACCUCCUUUAGGAGGAGGUUAUCUCCAGCUAUGCUUCAAAAUUGGGAAAAUAUGAAGCAAUUGGUGUUAGACAAAAUUUGUGCAGAUCAAAAUGAUGAGGUUUACUGGAAGUUGGAUAACUCCGGAGUUUAUUCCACUAAGUCUAUGUACAGAUGGCUGGAGAGAAACCUUGCAGGAGCUCAUUAUAAGUGGAUUUGGGGGGCUAAAAUUCCUCUGAAAAUACAAAUUUUCCUGUGGCAACUGUUUUAAAAUUCUAUUCUUACUAGAGAUAAUAUGAAAAAAAGACAGUGGCAGGGAGAUAUAAAAUGUUCUUUUUGUAGUGAACUUGAAUCGGCACAGCACCUUUUCUUCGGAUGCUCUGUGGCCAAGAUUGUAUGGAGAACAAUAGGUGUUGUUAUUGGUACUAGUUAUGUUCCGAGAACAAUCUGGCAGGUCUUUUCGUGGUUAUAUGCUUUUUUGCCAGGCCUUUAUGAAAUAUACACUGUUGGCUUAGCUGCAAUUUGUUGGUCCAUUUGGUUGGCCCGGAAUAGGGCUACCUUUGAGAAGAAAUUUAUCAAUACUCCUUUUGAAAUUACUUUCACAACAAGUGCAUUUUUGGAUUACUGGGCAGGUAUGCAGAAACCAGAGAUGGCAGAUAAUGUCAAGAAGGGGGCCCAAAUGCUGAAGAGAAGUGCAGCUCAAAUGCUACAUCUGUGCGAACCGCCGAUGGCAGAAGCAACCGAGCGGGCUGAGGGUGAAGGAAUCUGGGAUGAAUGGUGAUGUUGUUUUACGAUGAUGGCGAUCUGUUGUCCGUGGUGGUGCGCGAGUUUCUUUUGAUCUGCUGGGAGUAAAACUUGUUUUUAGUUUGGUAUUUUGUGCUCUUUUUGGUGAGCCUGGCCUGAUGAUAGGUGUGGUGGUAAUGAUACUUAUAUCUCCUGUAGUGUGGUUUUGGGUGAUAUCAGGUUUUUGCCCCGCAAUUCAUGUUCCUGAUGACAGGCAUGAAUGGCGGGUUUCCUGAUAUUGCUCUGAACUCGUUUUUUUCCCUUUCCCUCUCUUUUUCUGGUCCUAAGACAUUGUAUUUUCGUUAUGAAAGUAAUGGAAAGGGGAGAAAGCUCGGUUCAAAAAAAAAAUCUAACAUUUUUCCGAUACAAAUUGAACUCUUUUGUAAUACAUAGUCAAUAGUUUUUUCUAUAUGCAUUUUUCAAAUGCUUGAUUAACAUCUUUUAACUACAAUAAUAACAUAUAAAUACAUGGUCAACCUUUUCUAAAAAAUAACAAUUUUUAAAAAUGCUUUAUUAAGAGUUUUGAAGUAAAAAGAUUAAACUUUUUAUGAAUACACUGUCAACGUUUUUUCUAUACACAUUUCACAUUUUUUAAAUGUUUGAUUAACAUUUUUCAAACACUUGUUCAAUAUUUUUUCAAAUGCUUGAUUAACAUUUUGAUAUAUUUGAUAAUAAAAUCAUCAUUUUUCCAAUACAUUCAACAUUUACUUCAAAACUAAAUAGCCGUUUAGAGUGUUUUUAAAGUGUUUUUUCAUUCAACAUUAACAUUUUUUACAUUCAACAUUUUUUCUGAAUGGUUGAUUUACAUUUUUUAAUACUAGUUCAAAUUUUUAUAAAAGGUUUUUAGAGUUUUAUAUGUAAUAUACAUAUUUAGACUAUUUUAAAAUUUAAACAAGAGUACAAAGACAGAAAAAAGAGGUUGUAGACUGUUGCAUGCGUGGGCUGGCCCAUCUUUGUUGCCCCUUCUGUGAAUCCAAAGGUGGACUAGUUGAAGGCGAUAAAUAGGGGCUCCCGGCGGCAAGUAGUGUUUGGAAUUGAGCCAAGUUUCCAAACAACUUUUGGCGAAUUAUUUUGGAGGCUAGUGAGUACCAAUUCACGUUUCAUGGUUGAAUACAUCCGUCCAAUCGCAAUCUAUUUUCGUUUUCAUUUCAUUUAUAAGCCGAGACAGACAUGUGUAGAAUAUAGCCGUUGGGAUAUAUUGCCGAUAGGAUAUAAACGUUUGAAAAUAUAGACGUUGGAUAAUAACGGCUAGGAAAAUAGCCGUUUCGAUACAAACGCUAAGCAUAAAGUUGUCCAAUUUUAAAUGCACGUUUUAAUGCCUUGAUUGGCCUGCCUCUAUAUAUACAUGUCUGUGAAUCAAAAAUAGAAAUCUGAUACACUCCCAAAUCAUCAAAUCCUCGCCAUCCCAUCUCACUGUGUGGUCGUUCCCCUUGCAGCCACCCACCGCUACCCUAGCUACCAUCGCUGCCCUUUCCCACCUCACGAAUCGUCUCACCGGCCGCCAUUCACCUUCUCCUAGAUACCAUCAAUGGCCGCACCACAAAGCACACGGGCGAUGACGGCGUCAGCCUGCAUCCCGGAGACUGUGCACGGCACACACAUGUACAAAAUUCACAACUACGGCGUGUACAGGGGCUUCGGUGUCGGAAGGUGCAUCAAGUCCACCACGUUCACCGUUGGUGGCCAUGAAUGGUGCAUCCGCUUCUACCCCGACGGUUACAACGAGGGCAGCAAGGACUAUAUUUCAGUUUUCCUCGAGCUCAAGACCAAGAACAUUGUGGUGAGGGCGAUGUAUGAUCUGAGGCUGGUCUGCCAAGCCAUCCAGCCGCCUCUGAUGCCUUUUAACUCGGCCAACAUCCGCGACGUACCUCCUGUGGUGUUCGACACUCGCAACGAGAAACUCGGGGCAUGGGGUUGUGUCGCAUUCAAGAAGAAGUGUGAGCUCCUAGGGUCGUCAUACAUUCUGGACGACUCGAUCAUCGUCGCGUGCAAACUUACUGUUAUCACAUUGAAGGAUGCCGUGGAGGUGGAUACUGGACUGAUCGGUGACAUCCAGGUACCUCCAUCUGAAUUGGUUACUAAUCUUACUAAAUUGUUGGGAGCUCCAGAGGGAGCUGAUGUGUAUUUCAAGAUCCAAGAGCAGGUUUUCCCGGCUCACAAGAUCGUCCUUGGGAUGCGGUCGCCCGUCUUCUGGGCGCAGUUCUAUGGACCGAUGAGGAAAGAGCAUAGGGGCAUCACAACCAUUCCAGAUAUGCAGCCCGCUGUCUUUAGAGGACUGCUCCAAUUCAUCUACACAGACUCACUACCACCAAUGAACGACCUCGAUUCUGGUGAGUGCGAAGAAAUGCUUAGGCAUUUACUUGUGGCUGCAGAUACGUAUUCCAUUGAAAGGAUGAAGUCAAUGUGCGAGAGGAAACUUUGCCAAAGGUUUGAUCAGGAGACCGUGGCGACCACAUUAGCUCUGGCUGACCAGAACAAUUGCAACAUGCUCAAAGAUGCUUGCAUUGAAUUUAUCAACUCCCUAAGUACAAUGGAUGGUGUGUUGGCAAGUAAAGGGUACAAACACCUGAAAAGAGCAUGCCCUACUAUCUUUGCUGAUAUGUGGGAAAAGGCAACCAAGACUCGGAAAAUUUAAAUGCUCAUUACAGAUAAAUCCCGAGAAGUUACUUUAGUUAACACCAUAGCAACCUGAGAUUUAGUUUGUCAUUUUUUUCUUGAAAAGGGUUAAGUUCUGCCUAUGUUAUAUCAGCAAUAUCGUGUAAGAUGAUUUUCAUUGUUCAUGAUCACAUUUACUGUUUCGAAGUUUCCCUUUAUGUGCUCAUUCUUUUCUCGAUGUAGUGAGUGAUUGGCUACCAUGACCAUGUCUGUUGUGGAAUGUGAUGAAUAAUUGGAAAACAGAAACUUCAAGAAAUUAAUGAAUCGAUGCAGAUUUUUUUAUAUUAGGGAGUAGCUAAUUUAUACACUAUGUUCUUACUUACUAAUGUGUGUUUCACAAUACUAAUACUUCUAUUUUUUUUAUGUUUUCUUCGCUUUUCCUUCCCUUGUCUUGUUUUCUAACAUUAUGUUCUUACUUACUAAUGCGUGUUUGACAAUACCAAUACUCUGUUCUUACUUACUAACGUGUGCUUGAAGAUAUCAAUACUUCUAAUUUUGGCAUGUUUUCUUCACUUUUGUCAUGAAUUCUGCCUAUCAAUUGGCAUGCCAUGCUCAAGGUUCAUGGACGAUGGUACAACCUAACACCCCUCCCCCCCCCUCCUAAAAAACAUAACACCUUGUACUCUAGUCUCUAGCAUCUACUAUAUUGACAUGCCAAUGUCGUCUUCUACCACCCCGGGACAUAACUGUUCACCAAUUCUCAAUGGAUGUGUGGAAGAAUGGCAGAAGUGUGAGGAACUUAAAAUGGUUAGAUGUUUAAAUCUUUUUUUUUUAGAAAAGGAGGCUUAGCCCCGGCCUCUGCAUCGAAAGAUGCAUACGGCCAUAUAUUAAUAAUAAGCUCAAGUCUUAACCGAGUACAACUGGUUCCAAAAAACUGAAAUAAAAGUGAAUCUAACCAUGUUAAAACAAAUGAAGUUGAUGUAAAGAAAAUCAAUUGAACUAGAGUCAAAAUUGGUAAACGUAGGUGCAAAGAAAAAAUAUCCUAAAUGGUCAAUUCUUGCCACUCGGGUCGCCUGAAGGACACUAUCGUUGCCAUCUUGUGAUGUCCUUCCCCACCUUCGGGUCAUCCAGCUGGCACCCGUGUUUCCCUUUCCCUUCCUGUCCGAUCGUGUUCUCGCCAUUCUCCAUGCCCGCUACUCCAAUCGAGAAAUGUCCAUGCCGCGGAGACAAAAGAUGAUGACCUCAACCUAAACCUCAUAGAUUGCGGAUGGCACACACAUGUUCAUAAGGUGAUAUUGAUUGUGUACUGGUUGCAAUAUUUCUGCCGUCGUCAUUGUUAAGAAUGUUCUAAAGAUAAAUCAACCCUCUCACCUUGUUAUGUUGGAGAAAUAACAAAGAGAAAUGUCUGGAUGACAAAUGUAUGGAAGCAUAUUGGAAAUCCCAAUGCAAAUUUCUAUUCUUAAAACACAAACUUAAUCUAUUCGAUUCACUUUAGACUAUAUAUAUGUUUGGAUGUAUGAACUGGAGGGUACAAUUUUGCAUGGGCCGGAAUACCAAUUCUCCAACGAAACUAAAGUGGGUUUGAAUACGGAUUAUAUUGUUUGGUUGUUCACUCAAUUGGCUCAUGGAAUCUUAUAGUUAUUCUUUAAUUUCAAAUCCUGUUUGGAUGACAAACUUUGGAGUUGCAUAGAUACAUGAGUAUGAAGAUUAUGCUUUGCUCCACACGUAUCGGAACAAAAUAUGCACAAUUUGUGACUCUAUUCGCAUGUUUAUACAUAGCAGUCAAACACAUUCAGAUGAUUCAAGAAACGCACCAAGACAACAUAGAUGUUCACAGAAGGGCAGCAAUUUUUUUUUUCUAGGACAAUAUAGCAGCAAGCACAUCAGCAGCCAUCAAUAGAAGCACUAGCAGCAGAAAAUUACUCUCUGAAUAAAAUUCAGAAGCAACAACAUUCAGCAGGCUUACAGAUUUAGUGGGUACAAAAUUCAGGAUCAUAGUAGAAAAUUCAGUACCACCCAGUUCCCACCAACAGCUCCUCUUCUUGUCCAUGACAUAGAAUUCUACUCGUAUCACGGACAGAAUAAUCCAUCUGAUCACAGUAGCCAUGGCCCAUGGCAGCCUCGUCCGGUCGCCCCCUCCCUUCACUCUCGCCUGCCACAAAAUCCCAUGCCUCCCCAGUUCCAAACCUCCUCCCCUGCCUCAUCCCCUUCGCCCCCUGGUCGGGUCGCCCGCCGGAGCGGCUGUGCAAGGCGGAGGGGAGUGAAGUCCUGGGCCCUCCCACGGCGUUGCUCCACCAGGGGCGAUGGGCUGCGGUAACCCAUGGGUGGGUCAGGUGUGGUGAUCCUGGGAGGUGCAGGCGACCGGAGUCGAUCGCUACGCAGAGGGAAGUGCCAGGGAGGCAGAGGACGGCCGCCGUCGAUUGGGGCCUUCAAGUUCGAGGUACUAUCUGCUCGAAGAGGCGCCUUGAGAGGACAUGUUCGUGGCUGCCGACAGUACUGCAGAUCUCGGAGCCGCGGAUCCAGAUGAGAGUGGGAUGUCGCGCGCAUGGAGGACUGUGGUCACCGUCAUCGAGCCCCAGGGUCGCCGUUAUCGAGCCCCAGGGUCGCCGGCCUUCUCCUCCCGAUGCCCCGCCUCUCCCCUUCUUCUUUUCGAGACCAAGUUAAGGCCUCCUUUGUUCAUACUACUUCAUAGGCUACGAAUGCAAUAGGAAUAAAAAAAUCAUACUCCCUUCGUUUAAAAAUAACUGUCUCAACUUUAUACUAAUACUAGUAUAAAAUUGUAUUCCCUCCGUUCUUAAAUAUAUAAGUCUUUUAAGCGAUUUCACUAAGAGACUACAUAUAAAGCAAAAUGAAUGAAUCUACAUUCUAAAAUAUGUCUAUAUACAUCCGUAUGUAGUCUUCUAGUGAAAUCUCUAAAAAGACUUAUAUUAUGGAACGGAGGGAGUAUUAAGGUUAAGACACUUAUUUUGGAACGGAGGAAAUAAAAAAUAAGAUGACAUGUAUCUCGAUUUUGUUGGGCCAGAACAACAACAAUGGGCUGCACAAAUUCACCUAGACGACAAAUAUGCACACUACAAAGUCCCCUUCUCUUGUGAUGAACUUUAAGGACAGCUUCAACCAAUAAGUAAGCAGCGGAAUAACACAAACAAUAUGCACAUGUGACACAGGAUUUAACGUGGAAAAACCUCCAAUUUCACAUAAUUGCUAGAUGGCAACUCAAGUUGAGACCUUAGCUCAACAUUUUAUUUAAAAUGGAUGCUUCACAAGAAAUAGAGUUAGUAGCACAAGCAUCAUCAUUAACAACAAGAGGAGAAGGCAACUUGGCAAGCUCUUUAGCAUAAGAAGCUUCAAGUUCGGCAUGAGACUCGGUGAAUUUGAUGAGCGAACUCUUAAUAGCCCUUGAGCCAUUUUUGAGGUGCUCAUAGUCCUCAAGGAGUUUAGCAUGAGCAACUUCAAGCUUAUCAUUUUUAGUUCUAAAAUCAUUGGCCACCUUGAGGGCUCUAUCAUGGGGAUUCCUUUUAUCUAGAUAAUUCUAGAGCAUGUGUCACCAAAUCUGCCCUCAUUUUCUUCAUGCAUAACAAGCAUGAUGUCCUCUUCUACUGCAGUAACUCGAUUUCCCUCUGUGUCACUAUCACAGACAGCUUGCUUUUGAUCUUCCUUCUUCUUUUUCUUUUUGUCUUUCUUUCACUUGUCGCAUUGCCACUUAAUGUGGCCCUUCUCACGGCAGUGAUAGCACUCAUAAUUAGCAUACUUGCCUCUUGAUUUGCUCCUACCUCUUUCUACCCCUUUACCUGAACCUCUGCUCUUGCUUCUCCCCCUGGACUGGGUGACCAACACCUCUGAAUGUGAGGAAGAACUAGCUUCAGCCACCUUUCUGGAUUCUUCAUUUAGUACCCUGGUUUUCACAAGAUUCCAAAUGACAACUCCAUUAGGUGCUGGAUUGCAAUCCAUGACCUUAAAGGUCUCCCAGCUGUCCGGUAAUGAUCCUAGUAGCAGCAAGGCUCUUAAUUCAUCUUCAAAUGUUAUUUCCAUUGAAGAAAGCUGAUUUAUAAUGACUUGGAAUGUAUUCACAUGAUCUGCAAUUAGAGUGCCCUCUUUGUACCUCAAACACAUCAAUUUUUUGAUCAAGAACAUCUUGUAUGUACCUUCUUUUCGGGCAAACAACUUUUCCAUUUUCUUCCAUAAGGUGUGUGCAUGUGUCUCAUCAAUGAUAUUGUUCAAAACAUUGUCAUCAACCCAUUGUCGAAUAAACCCACAAGCUUGACGAUCAAGUACCUUCCAGUGACCUUCCUCAAUGCCCUCCGGCGUCUCACUGGAGAACACUGGUUUCCAGUAUUCUUUCACAUCUAACAAGUCCUCCAUCUUGCCCUUCCAUACUAGGUAAUUUGUACCAUUCAAAGAUAUCAUCCUCAUGCUAUCCAAUUCCAUCUUUCACCACAAGAAAUUCAACAAUUUGCACAAACAAACCUGGCUCUGAUGCCACUUUGUUGGGGCAGAACAACAACAAUGNNNNNNNNNNNNNNNNNNNNNNNNNNNNNNNNNNNNNNNNNNNNNNNNNNNNNNNNNNNNNNNNNNNNNNNNNNNNNNNNNNNNNNNNNNNNNNNNNNNNNNNNNNNNNNNNNNNNNNNNNNNNNNNNNNNNNNNNNNNNNNNNNNNNNNNNNNNNNNNNNNNNNNNNNNNNNNNNNNNNNNNNNNNNNNNNNNNNNNNNNNNNNNNNNNNNNNNNNNNNNNNNNNNNNNNNNNNNNNNNNNNNNNNNNNNNAAGUAAGCAGCGGAAUAACACAAACAAUAUGCACAUGUGACACCGGAUUUAACGUGGAAAAACCUCCUCAAGUUAAGGAGUAAAAAAACCACGGUUGUGGACCGACCGGUCCACACAACUUCACUAUGAGAAUGAUGAGUACAAAGUCUUCUUUAGAGCCUCUAAAGAUAUUUACAACACACUCUCCACAUUGUCAAUCGGCAACAGCAACAACAACCACAAGAGGAAAGAAAUCAGCAAAGCAGAGUACACACAACUUCUGUCCCCUUUAGUAUUUUGCAAAAUUCUAAAAUGAAAGGUACUCCAAUCUUUUAGUUAGUAGAAACUCAAAAGAGAAAAUACAUUUUGUUCACAGUAAUAUAAGAAAUGAAAACAAUUUAUCCGACAUGCACACACAAAUAUUAAAUAUAGGACCUGCGGUGAACGAUUUGAAUCUUUUAAGACCUAAUGAUUGACACACUUAAAAUACUUUUAGGACCUGAGUGUAUUUUACUCUAUAAUUAAUAGAGCACCAAGGAGUUACAAUGUGAAGAAGGGCCUCCUGAUGGUUGUAUUUAGCAGUGAUCAUCAAAUGAAGUAUACUACGAAUCUGCAUAAAAUUUGCACGUGAAUCUGCAACAUGCCGUGAUUUAGAGAGGGUCAUAUGCUGCAAAGCCUGAAUAGUAAUAUUCAUGUGGAAGGAUCAUAUGUUGAUCCUUCCAUAUGCCGUGAUUUGGAAAGUGACAUAUGUUGCAAAGCCUUCGAUGGCCUUGGUUUGAAUGGAAAGAGCCUUUCAAGUUAUGGGUUGGUAUGGGAAACCUAUGUAAUGAGCAUGAUCUUGACUUCUUCUAUGCACCGGCCAUCAUCACAGUUGGAGAUGGAGCAAGAACCCCUUUUUGGAAGGCUCCUUGGAUUAAUUACAGAGAGCUAAAGGAGAUAGCCCCACUAAUUUUUGCGGCUUCAACCCGCAAGACUAGAAGGUUAGAGAAGCGUUGAAGAAUAAUGCUUGGUUGGCUAAGGUAAAACUUUUCGCGAAUUUCACUUUGCAACAUAUGCGUUAAUUCGUGGCCCUCUGGACGUCCAUCCAAGGCUUCACUUUGACAACCAUGCCGAGGAUGACAUUGUUUGGAAGGACUUAGCCAGCGGACACUACACUGCGACCUCUGCCUACGCGGUCCAUUUCUUCGGAACGACUUCACUCACCUAUGGAGCACAUGAUAUGGAAAGCUUGGACCCUCCCAAGGUCAAGUUCUUUUCUUGGCUGGCUGCUCAAGCUUGGAUUUGGACAGCCGAUAGGCUGGCCAAGCAUGGAUGGCCGAACUAUGAUAUGUGUCCGCCAUGCAAGCAAGUUCAGGAAUUCGGGUCACGCCUCUUCUAUAAAUGCAUGUUCAUGCUCAGACUUUGGAAAAUGAUUAAUGACUGGCUUCUUUUGAUCGACUUUGAUACUUUUGAUUGACAUCUACAAGACUCCGUUAGCGAAUGGUUGCCGAAGAGAUCCGACGAUCGCACGCCCAACAGAAAAGGCCAUGUCGUCCCUGACAAUGCUUAUGGAAUGUACCAUCUCAAAGGAGCGAAAUGCCCGUGUUUUAAACACAAAAGCACCCCAACAUCCAUCUCGUUCAAUAAUAUUCGGUGUAGAUAAAACUGUGGAUUUUGGCCGGAGCAAAGCAGCCGGAAACUAUUGUACCGGUCGAAACGGACGAAAACAAAUUUCCUGAGCGAAGUACUCCGGUCGGCGGCAUCCCAGCUCGCAGGACCGCCACGGAAGGUGAGGGUGAAGCAAAUGCGUUCCUUCCGUGGCGUGCCGUGCUGCACCCUGGCCUGACCGGACACCACGCCACAACCAGUGCCGUGCCGCAGUCUUGCCUCCAACGUACGCCUCGAGUCUCCUACCCGCUGACACCACGGUCCCACCUCGAGCUCACCGGUAAUCCCCUCCCCUGCACAGUCCCCGGUCGGCGCUCAUCCACGUCGUCGUCGCCGCCGCACAGGGCCGCCGUCAAAGCCAGCACACCCGGCCCACACGCUGCACCGUCCUACCACUGACACUCAGGCCACCCUCCAUAACCCCACCUGUAAGCGGCGUCGGUCGUCCAAACUCCGGAGUCACGCGGGGGAGGAGUCGGACGUGGCGGCCCGCGCGGCGCGGCGCGUCCCGUAGCUGCUGCAGCAGCAGAGAGGGGGUGGGGCCGGAUGCCAUUCCGCGGUAUAAUUCCGGCCAUUUAAAAGGCACGCCGUGGCGUUGGUUGGCAUCCCUCCGUUCCACAACACGCAGCACGCCCGCCUCAUUUCCAUCCCACCUUCCCACCCAUCCCCCUGCCUGCCUACCAUCUCCCUCCCUCUCGUCCACGCCUCCGGUCGUUCCCCUUCUUCCCUCUGCGUGCCACUCACCGGGCGCCAUGACGGAGGAGGCCGAGGGAUGUGUUGCGGUGGCCGAGGCGGCGGGCAUCAUCUGCUCGCUCCGUGCGGCGGACCUGGCCGGGUGGACGCCGCCAUGGAAGACGAGCGGGCAGCCGUCCUCCGAAGCCAUGGCGAAGAAAGAGGAGACGGGCUGGCCGUCGGUGGCGCGGGGGAAGCGGACGCGGUCGUCGCGCUCAGGAUCCGCGGCAAACAAGGGGAGGAGGUGGGCGCGCGGCAGCCCCGCGUCUCCGCUCGACUACAGCGGCGGCUCCGGCUCCGGCUCCGGCGCGUCCACCAGCGGCGGGGAGGACGGCGCCUUCUGCUCGACACCGGCGACGGCCGCCAUCGCCGCCACCCCAGCUUCUUCCUCCUUGGGCAAGGUAGGUACCUAGUCGAGCGCGCGCACGUCCAUGCUUUCCCUUGUUUGUCUCCUUUCUCGUGUGUGGUUGGCCGCCUGCCUGCCUGCGUUUGUGCUUUGCUUUCCGUCGUCGCAGCGCCUGAUUGGACGGACGAAUCUACCCCUGUACCAUGUCAUCAAUGGUAUGGCAGUGAGAGGAUGUGCAACUGCAUCGGGGAUGAAACAUCGUUUUCCUCCCCCCUCACCGCACCACACCCGCCUUUUUGUUGGCAAAAGAUCUUUUCUCGCAUCCCUUUUUAACGAAUGUUUUCUUCGGUCCAACUCCAGAUACCCCGCUUCUUGCUCCACUCAUCCCACUUCGUCUUCGCAUCAAAAAGUCCAAUUCACGGGCGUCCGCUCUGAAUGUCAAUGGCUUCCGAUUUUUUUUUUAAUCUUGCCACGGUCGUGUGAUGGAUGGCUCUGCAUAGCCAUGGCCAUUACGUUGUAUGGUACUAGUACGUUGCGCGUGCUUGACUGCAAUUCACAGCGGUUGGUGACUCCUGACCACGAGCUACCGCUCCUGACUGCACGCCUUUCCCCAAACCACAUUCUUUCGUGAGGGCAGUGCCGUAAUUUCCGCCGGCCCUUAUCCUUGCGUGCAUUUGGAUUUUUCUCCCCGCGCCGCGGUGGCUAGCAGUGGCCCCUGCGGCCGGGCCCCACCCGCCAUGCAGUUGGGACUUUGUUUUUUUUUACUGGACAGUUGGGACUUUGUGACCCACGGUGUCAAACCGGCGCGUCGGCGGGAUCCACGUGGCCGCCGCCGAUUGGCUCGACCUUGCGCCCGGGUCGCGCGCUGCGUAUGGCCGUGCCGCCGGACACGGAGGUAGACACGACGUGUCGUGGCCACAUGCCUCCCGCCACGUGUACCGUCCCGCACGCCAGCAACACACAGAAACACCUUUCGGUUGGUGGCGCACACGGUACACAGCCGCUUUCCCAAACCGUACGUACAUGGCCUCGCGCAGGCCCCACAUGCCAUCGUCCCGUCAACGAGAAACCAUUUUUCUAUCUACACAUUCAUCAAUUUAAAAACCCCAACUUCUGUUUUAAGAAAGAAUUUAAAAACUCCAAGUGUGUAGUAGAUGGUAGGAUGACAGGUAGCAGGUGGUCGUUGGUGUCCACGCACUGCCGAUGGACCGAUUCAAAAACCCAAAACCUUAAUGCGUUUCACGUGAUGUGGCCAAAGGAGCGCCGGUGCAUUCUUACUACCUGUUCGGUUUCUCUCCGCUCCAUCAGCUGCGCUUCCGGAGCCUAUUUUGACGGAGCGGCUGACACCGAGCUCCACAACUACACAGAGUGGAGCGGCGGGGAGAGAUUCCGAACGAGGCCUUAGUGGGGAGUUACUUUGGCCGGCAUGCUCAUCAUCAUCAUCAUCGUUCCUUCAUGCCUCGCUCGGUUUUUUUCUUCUUAUUUUUGAAUAAACAACAUGUGUCAGCUGCCGUUGCUUUCAUUCUUUCCGCUGGUCGUUGGUUGGUUCCACUCUCGCUUUCUUGAUUCUCUCUUCCUACCAGCAGCAUCUCGUAAGCUAACAACUGAUCUUGCAAUUGUUCUUCUUCUGCCGCUGCUGCAGGUGGGCUCUGCCGGAGGAGCUCGGCGCCCGUUGAUCAUGCCGGCCCCGCCGCCCCGCGCCGCGGGGCAGAGGUCCCGGAAGAAGAUGGUAAGUUUCACGCUCGCUCCAUACCAUACAUUGGAAGCGAGUUUGGCUGGGGGCAGUGCAGUAGUACGAAGCCGUGUUUAGAUAUAGUCAUACAUUUGAACGAAGUUGUAGACUUUUACUACUAGUCAGGUUUCCAUCGAAUUCCUAAACCGCGUCAGCAGGCGGCACAGUCCAGGCAGACGGAGUCAGUCGUAGGAGAAGUGAGGCUGUUCAAUUGGCUGGCAUUCUUAAUUGGUUUUUAGUUGCUUUGCCUGGUGGAAUAAAGCGGGUGGUGCAACCACUUGUUGCCACCAUAGGAAUCAAAGAUGAAGAGAGAGGGAGAGGCAGGCGGAUAAAAGCGCGCGCUUGCUGUCCAUAGGACCAGAAAGGCAAGAAAGCUGCGUGCCCAAAAAGAUCAUCUCCUCAUCAACGCCGGAUGGUCGGCCCUGUCCCGUCUGGAGUGAUGACCGGUUGCAUCAUAUAUUCAGAUUGCCCAUAAAGAAAUGAUGAAGGAGAAAAAUAGAUUAGCAUAUGGAUGGCUUUUUGGCUUGCUGGAUCUGGCCUGAACUUGUGCCGUGGUUUGCUGCAGAGGCUCCCGGAGGUGAAGCAGAUGGUGCUGUCCCUGUCGGCAGAGAACGCCGUCCUUCGCCAGGUAAUUCAUUAACAAGCACCAUCAGCUUGCUCUUUCUUAUAUUUCCCCUUGGUAUUUUUAGAAGAAGGUACUCUUCUAGUUUUAUGAAAAAUUGUUUUCAUGUUGUUCUUAUAUCAACAUAUUCCCUUUGAUUCGAACAGGAGAUGGAGUCGCUGCAGAUGGCCUGCAAGGCGCUCUCCAAGGAGAACGGCACACUAGAGGUGAGUGCCACGCACGCGCACUAUUAUACCAAUCUUAACUUCUCAGUAGCAGCGUAGCAUAGAUAGAUGCUUCCAUGUUGGGCGAGAUGUUCUCUGCCCGAGUGUGCAAUCAUAAGCACAUAGAAAGAAAGAAAGAAAGAAAGAAAGAUAAACCGGUUGGGCGCCUCCCACUUGCAUUGCCUGGUAGAGCAAGCCUUCAAGCACAAGUGAAUGGAUGAAUCGAUGGCAAAAGAAUAAGAGUGAAAAAUCGAUCGUCCUGAGCCUCCCAGCGGGGCACCAGACCACUGGAUGGGUCCUGCUUUAAUCUCUCUGUGCUGUGCUGUGGUUCGUAGCACGAUUUUUUGUUUUGAUUUGAUGGUCGCAACCCUCUCAACCACCGUUGCUGUUGCCGUCCGGAAGAAAACUGACUGCGACCGGUGCCGUCCGGAUAAGCUNNNNNNNNNNNNNNNNNNNNNNNNNNNNNNNNNNNNNNNNNNNNNNNNNNNNNNNNNNNNNNNNNNNNNNNNNNNNNNNNNNNNNNNNNNNNNNNNNNNNNNNNNNNNNNNNNNNNNNNNNNNNNNNNNNNNNNNNNNNNNNNNNNNNNNNNNNNNNNNNNNNNNNNNNNNNNNNNNNNNNNNNNNNNNNNNNNNNNNNNNNNNNNNNNNNNNNNNNNNNNNNNNNNNNNNNNNNNNNNNNNNNNNNNNNNNNNNNNNNNNNNNNNNNNNNNNNNNNNNNNNNNCUGAGCUAUAAGUUACUUUCUGAGCUGGACACUUCACUGUCUAUACUGUAUUGUACGCAGUUCAAUCAUAGUUUUAAAUAGCCCACUAUAGCCUCGCUAUAGCCUUUUCAGCAGGGUGUCGCUAAAUGGUAUCAUGUACAAAUAUACCGCUAUAGCUGAUUUAGAGGCUCGCCGCUAUUUGCCGUAGCCUGCUAUUUAAAAUAUUGAGUUCAAUACUUGGGCGUGCUGUAUGUGCAAAUGGNNNNNNNNNNNNNNNNNNNNNNNNNNNNNNNNNNNNNNNNNNNNNNNNNNNNNNNNNNNNNNNNNNNNNNNNNNNNNNNNNNNNNNNNNNNNNNNNNNNNNNNNNNNNNNNNNNNNNNNNNNNNNNNNNNNNNNNNNNNNCUGUAUGUGCAAAUGGAUGCACAGCACAGUGAUAUGUAGAAGUAGAAGAUGUCUUUGCUUGGUGUUAGCUGGCCGUACGCACGCUGUCCAGAACAGAAUCGUGUGCGAUAAAGAAGGCGAGGUUGCCGCUGAUCCUACCUGCAAGCAAAUGGAUCCGUGCGCACCUGCCCGGACGGGCACGACGAUCUCGUGCCCUUCUUUAAUGCCCUGCUACAGCGCUCCCGCCAUUACUAUAGUGGAAGAUGCAUGGUGUAGGUACCAUCCUCGUCUCUGCUUGACACCAAACAAACAGCUGAACAAGUUGCACGGUGGUGGCAAUAUGUUUAGGCUGGGCCAGCCAGCUGGACGGUCCCUGCUUGAUUUGCUUUCUCCCUGCUCUCCUCUUGUCUGGCAUGGCACCAUCGCCGUGCUCUCCUCUACCAAUGCCGUGCCAGUGCUCUCAUGGCGAGCAUCCUGCCCUGCUAAUGUAGCCACAGAUUGGUGCAUGCUGCGUUUCAGCGUUUGAUCAUAGCAUUAGCUCACUCUGCCUCUGCGCUGCUAAUGACUAAAAUUCAGCAACUCCUCAUCCGAAUUUCCCUCUAGAUUUCAGAACCCAGUCUGUCGCCGUCGAUCCGGGGAUUGGUUUUCUAGACGAGCCGGAAGUUUGGGACGCUGCCUUUGUGUGAAGGUCAUACUAACAUUUUCCUUGUGAACAAUUUCACAGACAAGGCUGGAGCAUUCUUCCUCGUCAAGCAAGCGGAAGAGGACCGAGUCCGAAGAGGAGGAGCGGCGACAAAGGAAGCCGCAGCAAGCCGGUGGCGGGUUCGCGCUCCCUGACCUCAACAUUCCGGCGCAGGAUGUCGCCGACGCACCAGCGGCUCCGUGAUGGCUCCGCUUGGGAACCCAGUCCAUCUCCGGUGGUGGCGCCUGACGGCUAACCUGAUAAGUUCAUUAACCGUGUAUAGGGGAGGAGGCUGAAUCUGAGGCUGGAAGGCGCGAUCUCUGAUCGCUCGUGCUGGCAGGGAGGAAGAGCAAUCGGUCGUGUUACCUUAGCUAUUUUUCUUUCUUCUGUUUAGUUUUGAGAUUUUUCUUUUGAACUGCCAGCAACGCUGGCUUUGUAUUAAGAUAGGUCGGGAGCGCAGUUUACAGGGUAGUCGCAAGGGUGCGAUCAAGAAUGAAAAGCGGGCAAAACGCCCAAGAGGAUUACAGACAAAGAAGAAAAACGUAGGGUUGAGCAUGGUCGGCGGCUCCCCAAAGUUUUUGCGGGUUUGGAACUGGGUAGAAUCCAGCUGAACAUGAUUGCGACGCGUGGCGCUACUUUUUUUUUUUUUUGAACGGUCAUGGGAAAGGGAUUCCCAUCAAAAUAUAUUGCUCAAAAAGCUGUCAAAGCCAAAAGUUACCCCUUAAGCUAUGGCUGAUUCAGUUUAUAACAAAAACUUGAUUGAAAACCUAAAUAAAUUGACCCAGUUUAGGAGGAAAACCGGAAUCCCACCUCCUCAGCCUUGAACCUGCGCCACCAUCGUCGUAGGACGAAUGAACAUUGUUCUACUAUAGGGCUAACUUAGAAAGGAAAUGGGGUUGAUGGACUUUUCCACUCGUGCCACGGGCGACAGGGAGGCGACCUCGAGCCAGGGACGAUUCUAGGGGGGACGAGGGGGGGGGGGGGCUAGGCCCCCCUAACAAAUUGAUUUUCUACUAUAAUAAUGAUUGUUAUAGCCAAAAAACUUCAUUUCAUAUGAACUUUGCCCCCCUAUGCUUGGAUGCUGGCUCCGUCCCUGCCUCGAACCUCCCGAAUCCCACAAUUAAUGGUCGUUCCCAACCACCCCCUCCUCAUUAUCCCACCUCCUCAGCCUCUCCUCCCCUCCCACCAACCCUCAUCUCUCCGAUCUCCUUGUGCGAUGGCGGGGGAGAGGCGUGGAGGCCGAGCGAGGCGCGUUCGUCCUGCGGCGAUGGUGGCGGCCCCGAUGGCUUCCCCCGUGCCGAUUCCGGUGGCGCAGCUGCCGGUCGUGGAACUGUGGGUGGUCCGGGGCUCUUCCCCGACCGUCCGAGUGGCCGAAGAUCAUGGUGGAUAUCAUUCGGAGAUCCACCUUCGAGGAACGAGCUCGGUUCUGCGAAGACGACGGGGGAAUGGACUACGAGCUGAUCUUCUGGCCAAUACAGGAUGCGGAGGCUGCGAAUCCAAUCCAGGUGUUGCGGUGGCGCGGGUUUAAGGCGGAGAGUGCCUCCCGUCUCAACAUUCGUUCACUGUCGGUGCUGGAAUUGUCCCAGCUUCCUCCCGAUGCGCUGCCUCCGGGGGUCAGACCGCCCCGCACCCCCUGAAGACUCGCGCUCCUGGCAGACACCUCCAACAUUCGGUGCUUGCCACGGGGGUGCGGGGGCGUCGGGCGGGGGAUGAGUUGCCUCGCAGCUUGGAACCACAACCAUGGUCGGGAGAUCGCGGUGAGGUUUACACUCACCGUAAUCAGGUACCUCGAUUCCGACUGAAUUCCUCCCGUAUCUGUGCUUAUUCUAAGAGAGUUUGUAGUGACCAUCUGGUCAUCGAAUCCGAAUGUUGUUCUCUCGGAUCGGACCCUGUGCUCAUUGUUCCUAGGGAAGGAGUUUCUACUCCGGUCAAACUGCUUUGUCCGGCAACGAACCGGGAGGAGGUGGCCAAACCACCAAAGGCACCUGAUAUCAGUCCGAAAAUGACGGGUCUCGGUCCCUCUCCGGUUCCUGCGCCUCUCAUCCAUGGAUGUGUGGUUAGGAGGAAAGCUCGUUUUCAAAAACCGUCUUCCCUUGUGGGAAACGUAUCCGAGGAGGUGACGGAGGAGUUUUUCAGAUAGCUCUGGGUUAUUCCUUCCCUUGUGCGCCGUCGACCCCAUAUAUACUCCUCUCCCCUCCUCCAAACCCUAGCUUUGCCAUACCUAACACCUUUUGGGUUAGGAAAGNNNNNNNNNNNNNNNNNNNNNNNNNNNNNNNNNNNNNNNNNNNNNNNNNNNNNNNNNNNNNNNNNNNNNNNNNNNNNNNNNNNNNNNNNNNNNNNNNNNNNNNNNNNNNNNNNNNNNNNNNNNNNNNNNNNNNNNNNNNNNNNNNNNNNNNNNNNNNNNNNNNNNCCGAUCCAGAACGUUUACCAGAGAUGAUUGCUUCCCUCUGAAGCACCUUGGUCGAUUUGAUCCUAUACCGACCUCCUUCAAGCUUUCAGUAGAAGGGAUCGGGCAUGGAUCUCUAUCCUUCACUGAGGUGGUUAAGGGGGGAAUGGAGGUUGGACGUCAGCAACAGCAGCGGUCUCCGCGCCCCAACCUAACAAGAAGACAGUGCCUAUCCAGGGGGGCAAGCCCAGCCUCCUCAACCUCCCCCUCCUGCUCCUGCGAAGCCACCCCAAACCAUGAACAAAGGGGGGGGAAGUGGCAUGGAAGAAUCAGGCUGUUGGAGGCAAUCCGGCUGUGAUGGCACCAAUAGCACGUCCGCCGGCGAUCCUGACCCCUCGUGUUGUCCAAGCUCUGGAUCUAAGGUACAAAGAGAUGACCUGCUUCAACUGUAGCUGGUUCGGUCAUUACGUUGGUAAUUGCAUUAAGCCCAAGAAGUGCUUCAUCUAUGCGGGAGGGCACAAUGUUAACAAUUGUGCAGCAUGGGCUCGUCAACAUCCCACUGCCACCUACUUUGGGAGCGCUGCUACGGGUCUAGGGUUUUAUCAUAUUGACGUCCAUGUGUCUACAGAAUCGAGUUGGAUGAAUUAUAAAAAUUGUGCAUUACUUCAUGUUGUAAGGGGAGAGGUUUCUGCUUCUGAACUGUUGAUGCAACUGAAUGGAAUCUUUUGCAAGAACAAGGAGUGGCCCUGGCAGAUAAGAGAACAGGAGGAUAAGAAGUUUAUGUUAAGGUUUCCUCCCCGGAGAAGUGUUGAUGAUCUGAUUGAUUUUCCUCCGUGUGAUUUACCUAUUGAUGGUGUCUCAGUUAAGGUUGUUGAAUGGCAAGGUAUGUUGAACCACUAUGCAGGAUUAACUGGAGCAUGGGUAUAGAUCGAAGGGGUACCUCCAAAAUGGUGCGCUUGGAAAGUAUUUGCUCAAAAUUACUUCCUGCUUUGGUAUUCUUGUGGAUGUAGAUUGGAAUGGCAUUUCUAAAAGCUUUUAUGAGACCAUUCGUGUGAAGGUUGCAUGUAGAGACCCUGCCAAAAUUCCUUUUGAGAGACUUGUGGAAAUGAAGAAGAAAUUAUAUUUGUUAUUCUUCACUGUUGAAGGUUUUGAUCAGAUUAGUGAUGAGGAUGAUGAUGAUGGAGUUGAUCCUGAUGAGGAAGAUCUUGACAAAAGCAAAGGUGGGGAGGAGGAUUUUGAGGGUAAUCUGGACACUACUGAUAAGGACAGUCAGGAAGAUGAUGCCAAUCCAAUAGAUGACCUUGAUAAGGCUAGUUUCAUUAAGAAGGAUAUUCUUGCCUCUGCAUGUGGCAACAAACAGAGAAGUGUUGUUUCUGCAACUGAAUUCCAUCCUAAGAUGUUGUUGGAGAAUGCUCACACUGCCUUCAUUGAGGAAAUCAAAAGAUGUGGACUCCCUGAAAGUGAUAAUUGUGACAAGGUUGAUGAAGAAAUGAUUUCUCCCAUGAGGAUGUUUUCUUCACCUCCAAAAGAUGGGGAACCCAUGUCUGUCCAUAUGGAUUACAUCUCUCAGCAACUGAAAAACUUUGACAUGGUUGAAUCUGAUGAAGAAGAAGGAGAUAAUCUAUGAGAAAUGCAAUGCUUACCUGAUGAGUUGAUAAAAGUUAUUGUCUCUACUAAGAGAUCUCUGCUAGAUACCUUGGGAAAGGCUGAUUCAAAGAAAAAAGGGAGAUUCCAGGAAGGGGCUUCUGCCAAAUGGGGUCCAGUGUUAUCUAGCAGGCCAACCACUCGUGGACAUGGGGACAUCAACAUUAUUGAUAAAGCCAAAGCCUAUCAGAAGAAGACGAAUUUGGAGAUACCCCCAUCAUUCAAAGGUAAUUCCUUUCCCUGUCUAGAUAAUUAUAACCUUGUGGACCAAGCUAGGAAAAAUGAUAUAUGUAUUGGUAAUGAUGAUAAUGAACAAGGUGCUAUUCUUUAUGACAUGAUAGAAAAUGAAAAACUAAGAUGCCUUCAAUUUGCUGAUCUUAACCCGGGAAUUGUUCUCCCUGAUAAUCUAGAUGUGGUUAUUCAAACUCAUUCCUCACCACAUGACAUUAUUCCAAGAUCUAAAACAGUGGGCAUUGUUGUUUUAGUGAGGGAUAGCCCAACCCUACUCAUGAAAAAGCAAGCCUUGUGGCUUGUCACAUCCUUUUUAAAUCUCACGAUAGGAGACUUUUGGAAUAUCAGGGGUCUAGUGUUGGGGAACAUCGCAUGGGAAACAAAACUUUUCCUACGCGCACGAAGACCUAUCAUGGUGAUGUCCAUCUACGAGAGGGGAUGUGUGAUCUACGUACCCUUGUAGACCGUACAGCAGAAGCGUUAGUGAACGCGGUUGAUGUAGUGGAACGUCCUCACGUCCCUCGAUCCUCCCCGCAAACCGUCCCGCGAUCAGUCCCACGAUCUAGUGCCGAACGGACGGCACCNNNNNNNNNNNNNNNNNNNNNNNNNNNNNNNNNNNNNNNNNNNNNNNNNNNNNNNNNNNNNNNNNNNNNNNNNNNNNNNNNNNNNNNNNNNNNNNNNNNNNNNNNNNNNNNNNNNNNNNNNNNNNNNNNNNNNNNNNNNNNNNNNNNNNNNNNNNNNNNNNNNNNNNNNNNNNNNNNNNNNNNNNNNNNNNNNNNNNNNNNNNNNNNNNNNNNNNNNNNNNNNNNNNNNNNNNNNNNNNNNNNNNNNNNNNNNNNNNNNNNNNNNNNNNNNNNNNNNNNNNNNNNNNNNNNNNNNNNNNNNNNNNNNNNNNNNNNNNNNNNNNNNNNNNNNNNNNNNNNNNNNNNNNNNNNNNNNNNNNNNNNNNNNNNNNNNNNNNNNNNNNNNNNNNNNNNNNNNNNNNNNCCUCCGUAUAUAUAGGGGGAAGAGGGGGAACCUUGCCUUGGGGCUCAAGGAGCCACAAGGGGGUCGGCCGAGCCAAGGGGGGAAGGUCUCCCUGUUGGGGAACGUCGCAUGGGAAACAAAAAUUUUCCUACGCGCACAAAGACCUAUCAUGGUGAUGUCCAUCUACGAGAGGGGAUGAGUGAUCUACGUACCCUUGUAGAUCAUACAGCAGAAGCGUUANAGAGUCAAUAAUCUAGCCCUCACAUCACCAUGUGAAUUACAUUGUAAUAAAUCUAACACCCAUACAGUUCUGGUGUUGACCAUGCUUUGGCCGUGGAAGAGGUUUAGUCAGCGGGUCCGCUACAUUCAGAUCCGUGUGCACUUUGCAUAUAUUCACGUCCUCUCCCUCGACAUAGUCGCGGAUGAGGUUGAAGCGUCGUUUGAUGUGUCUGGUCUUCUUGUGAAACCGUGGUUCCUUUGCUAAGGCAAUGGCACCAGUGUUGUCACAGAACAAGGUUAUUGGAUUCAGUGCGCUUGGCACCACUCCAAGAUCCGUCAUGAACUGCUUCAUCCAGGCACCCUCCUUAGUCGCCUCCGAGGCAGCCAUGUACUCCGCUUCACAUGUAGAAUCUGCUACGACGCUUUGCUUGGAACUGUACCAGCUUACUGCACCCCCAUUAAGAAUAAAUACGUAUCCAGUUUGCGACUUAGAGUCGUCCGGAUCUGUGUCAAAGCUUGCAUCAACGUAACCUUUUACGACGAGCUCUUCGUCACCUCCAUACACGAGAAACAUCUCCUUAGUCCUUUUCAGGUACUUUAGGAUAUUCUUGACCGCCGUCCAGUGAUCCACUCCUGGAUUACUCUGGAACCUACCUUCCAUACUUAUGGCCAGGCUAACAUCCGGUCUAGUGCACAGCAUCACAUACAUGAUAGAACCUAUGGCUGAAGCAUAGGGGACGGAGCGCAUAUGCUCUCUAUCUUCAUCAGUUGCUGGGCACUGAGUCUUACUCAAUCUCGUACCUUGUAGAACUGGCAAGAACCCUUUCUUGGACUGUUCCAUUUUGAACCUCUUCAAAACUUUAUCAAGGUAUGUGCUUUGUGAAAGUCCUAUCAGACGUUUUGAUCUAUCCCUAUAGAUCUUAAUGCCUAGAAUGUAAGCAGCUUCUCCUAGGUCCUUCAUAGAGAAACUUUUAUUCAAGUAAUCCUUUAUGCUCUCUAAAAACUCUACGUUGUUUCCAAUCAGUAAUAUGUCAUCCACAUACAAUAUUAGAAACGCCACAGAGCUCCCACUCACUUUCUUGUAAAUACAAGAUUCUCCAACCACUUGUAUAAACCCAAAUGCUUUGAUCACCUCAUCAAAGCGUUUGUUCCAACUCCGAGAUGCUUGCACCAGUCCAUAAAUGGAUCGCUUGAGCUUGCACACCUUUUUAGCAUUCUUAGGAUCGACAAAACCUUCGGGUUGUAUCAUAUACAACUCUUCCUUAAGGAAACCGUUAAGGAACGCCGUUUUGACAUCCAUCUGCGAGAUUUCAUAAUCGAAAAAUGCAGCUAUUGCUAACAUAAUUCUGACGGACUUAAGCAUCGCUACGGGUGAGAAAGUCUCAUCGUAGUCAACUCCUUGAACUUGUGAAAAACCCUUUGCCACAAGUCGAGCUUUAUAAACGGUCACAUUACCGUCAGCGUCCGUCUUCCUCUUAAAGAUCCAUUUGUUCUGAAUGGCCUUACGGCCCUCGGCAGUACCUCCAAAGUCCACACUUUGUUCUCAUACAUGGAUCCUAUCUCGGACUUCAUGGCUUCCAGCCAUUUGUUGGAAUCUGGGCCCACCAUUGCUUCUUCAUAAUUCACAGGUUCAUUGUUGUCUAACAACAUGAUUGAUAAGACGGGAUUACCGUACCACUCUGGAGCAGCACGUGGUCUCGUCGACCUGCGUGGUUCGACAGAAACUUGAACUGGAGUUUCAUGAUCAUCAUCAUUAACUUCCUCCUCAACUGGCGUCGCAAUGACAGAGGUUUCCCUUUGCCCUGCGCCACCAUCCAGAGGGAUGAGAGGUUCGACAACCUCGUCAAGUUCUAUCUUCCUCCCACUCAAUUCUCUCGAGAGAAACUCCUUCUCGAGAAAAGCUCCGUUUUUAGCAACAAACACUUUGCCCUCGGAUUUGAGAUAGAAGGUGUACCCAACUGUCUCUUUUGGGUAACCCAUGAAGACGCACUUUUCCGCUUUGGGUUCCAGCUUUUCAGGCUGAAGCUUUUUGACAUAAGCAUCACAUCCCCAAACUUUAAGAAACGACAACUUUGGCCUUUUGCCAUACCACAGUUCGUAUGGUGUCGUCUCAAUGGAUUUUGAUGGUGCCCUAUUUAAAGUGAAUGCAGCUGUUUCUAAUGUAUAGCCCCAAAAUGAUAACGGCAAAUCAGUAAGAGACAUCAUAGAUCGCACCAUCUCUAAUAGAGUACGAUUACGACGUUUGGACACACCAUUACGCUGUGGUGUUCCAGGCGGUGUUAACUGUGAAACAAUUCCACAUUGUCUUAAGUGAGCACCAAACUCGAAACUCAGAUAUUCACCCCCACGAUCAGACCGCAGGAAUUUGAUCUUCUUGUUACGAUGAUUUUCCAGUUCACUCUGAAAUUGCUUGAACUUUUCAAAUGUUUCAGACUUGUGCUUCAUCAAGUAGACAUAACCAUAUCUACUUAAAUCGUCAGUGAAGGUGAGAAAAUAACGAUAUCCGCCACGUGCCUCCACGCUCAUCGGACCACACACAUCGGUAUGUAUGAUUUCCAACAAGUCACUUGCACGCUCCAUUGUUCCUGAGAACGGAGUCUUAGUCAUCUUGCCCAUGAGGCAUGGUUCGCACGUGUCAAGUGAAUCAAAGUCAAGUGACUCCAAAAGUCCAUCAACAUGGAGUUUCUUCAUGCGCUUUACACCAAUAUGACCUAAGCGGCAGUGCCACAAAAAUAUGGCGCUAUCAUUGUUAACUCUAACUCUUUUGGUCUCAAUGUUAUGUAUAUGCGUAUUGCUAUCAAGAUUCAAUAUGAACAAUCCUCUCACAUUCGGUGCAUGACCAUAAAAGAUGUUACUCAUAGAAAUAGAACAACCAUUAUUCUCUGACUUAAAAGAGUAACCGUCUCGCAAUAAACAAGAUCCAGAUAUAAUGUUCAUGCUCAACGCAGGCACUAAAUAAUAAUGAUUUAAGUUCAUCACUAAUCCUGACGGUAACUGAAGUGACACUGUGCCGACGGCGAUUGCAUCAACCUUGGAACCAUUUCCUACGCGCAUCGUCACUUCAUCUUUCACCAGCCUUCGCCUAUUCCGCAUUUCCUGUUUCGAGUUGCAAAUAUGAGCAACAGAACCGGUAUCGAAUACCCAGGCACUACUACGAGAGCCGGUUAAGUACACAUCAAUAACAUGUAUAUCAAAUAUACCUGAUUUUUCUUUGCCCGCCUUCUUAUCUGCCAGAUACUUGGGGCAAUUGCGCUUCCAGUGACCCAUACCCUUGCAAUAGUAACACUCCGUUUCCGGCUUAGGUCCAGCUUUGGGUUUCUUCGUCGGAUUGGCAACAGGCUUGCCGCUCUUCUUCGAAUUGCCCUUCUUGCCUUUGCCGUUUCUCUUGAAACUAGUGGUCUUAUUCACCAUCAACACUUGAUGCUCUUUACGGAGUUCAGACUCAGCGAAUUUCAGCAUCGCAAACAACUCGCCAGGAGACUUGUUCAUCCCUUGCAUGUUGUAGUUCAACACAAAGCCUUUAUAGCUUGGCGGCAGUGAUUGAAGGAUUCUGUCAGUGAUAGCUUCUUGCGGGAGUUCAAUCCCCAGCUCAGCUAGACGGUUUGAGUACCCAGACAUUUUGAGCACAUGUUCACUGACAGAUGAGUUUUCCUCCAUCUUGCAAGCAUAGAAUUUAUCGGAGGUCUCAUACCUCUCGAUCCGGGCAUUCUUCUGAAAGAUAAACUCCAACUCCUGGAACAUCUCAAAUGCUCCAUGACGCUCAAAGCGACGUUGAAGUCCCGGUUCUAAGCCAUACAAGACUGCACAUUGAACUAUUGAGUAGUCCUCCUAACGUGCUAACCAAGCGUUCUUAACAUCCUGAUCAGCCGUAGCGGGUGGUUCAUCUCCUAACGCAGCAUUAAGGACAUAAUCCUUCUUCCCAGCUUGUAAGAUUAGCUUAAGAUUACGAGCCCAGUCUACAAAGUUGCUUCCAUCAUCUUUUAACUUAGCUUUCUCUAGGAACGUAUUAAAAUUCAGGAUGACUGUCGCGUGAGCCAUGAUCUACAACACAAAUAUAUUCAAAGUGGACUUAGACUAUGUUCAAGAUAAUUAGAGUUUAACUUAAUCAAAUUAUUCGCUAAACUCCCACUCAAAAAGUACAUCUCUCUAGUCAUUUGAGUGGUUCAUGAUCCACUUACACUAGCUCAAGUCCGAUCAUCACGUGAGUUGAGUAUAGUUUCAGUGGUAAGCAUCCCUAUGCUAAUCAUAUCAUCUAUAUGAUUCAUGAUCGACCUUUCGGUCUCAUGUGUUCCGAGGCCAUGUCUGCACAUGCUAGGCUCGUCAAGCUUAACCCGAGUGUUCCGCGUGCGCAACUGUUUUGCACCUGUUGUAUGUGAACGUUGAGUCUAUCACACCCGAUCAUCACGUGGUGUCUCGAAACGACGAACUGUAGCAACGGUGCACAGUCGGGGAGAACACAAUUUCGUCUUGAAAUUUUAGUGAGAGAUCACCUCAUAAUGCUACCAUCGUUCUAAGAAAAAUAAAGUGCAUAAAAGGAUUAACAUCACAUGCAAUUCAUAAGUGACAUGAUAUGGCCAUCAUCACGUGCUUCUUGAUCUCCAUCACCAAAGCACCGGCACGAUCUUCUUGUCACNNNNNNNNNNNNNNNNNNNNNNNNNNNNNNNNNNNNNNNNNNNNNNNNNNNNNNNNNNNNNNNNNNNNNNNNNNNNNNNNNNNNNNNNNNNNNNNNNNNNNNNNNNNNNNNNNNNNNNNNNNNNNNNNNNNNNNNNNNNNNNNNNNNNNNNNNNNNNNNNNNNNNNNNNCAUGAUCUCCAUCAACGUGUUGCCAUCGGGGUUGUCGUGCUACUCAUGCUAUUACUACUAAAGCUACAUCCUAGCAAAAUAGUAAACGCAUCUGCAAGCACAAACGUUAGUAUAAAGACAACCCUAUGGCUCCUGCCGGUUGCCGUACCAUCGACGUGCAAGUCGAUAUUUCUAUUACAACAUGAUCAUCUCAUACAUCCAAUAUAUCACAUCACAUCAUUGGCCAUAUCACAUCACAAGCAUACCCUGCAAAAACAAGUUAGACGUCCUCUAAUUUUGUUGUUGCAUGUUUUACGUGGUGACCAUGGGUAUCUAGUAGGAUCGCAUCUUACUUACGCAAACACCACAACGGAGAUAUAUGAGUUGCUAUUUAACCUCAUCCAAGGACCUCCUCGGUCAAAUCCGAUUCAACUAAAGUUGGAGAAACCGACACUUGCCAGUCAUCUUUGAGCAACGGAGUUACUCGUAACGAUGAAACCAGUCUCUCGUAAGCGUACGAGUAAUGUCGGUCCAAGCCGCUUCAAUCCAACAAUACCGCGGAAUCAAGAAAAGACUAAGGAGGGCAGCAAAACGCACAUCACCGCCCACAAAAACUUUUGUGUUCUACUCGAGAAGACAUUUACGCAUGAACCUAGCUCAUGAUGCCACUGUUGGGGAACGUCGCAUGGGAAACAAAAAAUUUCCUACGCGCACGAAGACCUAUCAUGGUGAUGUCCAUCUACGAGAGGGGAUGAGUGAUCUACGUACCCUUGUAGAUCGUACAGCAGAAGCGUNNNNNNNNNNNNNNNNNNNNNNNNNNNNNNNNNNNNNNNNNNNNNNNNNNNNNNNNNNNNNNNNNNNNNNNNNNNNNNNNNNNNNNNNNNNNNNNNNNNNCCACUGUGCUGGAAAGAGACCUGUAGCUAUGUUGCAUGUUGCUCCCAAACAGCUAAGAUGCAGAUUCUGGCAGAUUAUGUAGUUUUACCAUUUUGUUCAAAGUAUGUGCUUAAUUGAUGUUGUGGUGUUCUACCUUGCUCCAAUUCAUUCAUGUUGGGUUAUUACAUGUCUUGGCAACCUAGGAAUACCAGAUUUGUGCCAAUUGUGUGUGUGGUGAUGAAUCUUUCAUGUAGAGCUUCAUAUCUUGUUUCGUUGAUUCCCGUUGAUCCGUAGCUCCGUUUGCAAUGUUCCUUAUAUGGUUUUGUACCGUUUUCACGAGCCACAUCUGUUCAUGUCGUUCUCAUGCAUGUAAAAAUAGCAUAGUGCACAGUUAUGUCCAGAAACUUGCUGUAGUUUAUUUUGCUUGUGCUAGUGAUAGAAAUAGUGGUGCAUGCUCAACUUUCAUCUCAUGCAUCAUGUGAUUGUUGCAUCUUGUGGUGCUGCUGUUCAUUGGCUGUAUUCUUAUGUUGGGUAGCACCGGGAGCGGAGAACGUAUAUGUGGAGUCAGGAGAGUACGUGCAGGACGAUCCAGAACCAUUCCAAGCUGAGGAUAUCACAGGCAAGAUGAUAUGACCUUGAUUCCAUCUCUAGACUUGUUAUGUUAGUUUUGUUUCCAUGUCAUAUUGCUCGCUGCCUACCACUGAAAUUAAAUUGCCUCUUCAUAUGCCAUGAGCCCAAACACAGUUCCCCUUCCUAGCAAACUUGUGUGGCUAAGUAGGCUUGCUCAGCUACUAAUGUUAGCAUUGUUAGUUGCAGGUGUUUUAAACUCAUGUGAUGACAUGAGCUUGAUAUCAUUAUAUUAAAUUAUGUUAUUUAAUUAAUGCACCUAUAUACUUGGUAAAUGACGGGAGGCCUAGCCUUUUGCCGGGUGCUUUGUUCCGUUAUUGCCGCCUUAGUUACCGGUUACUGGUGUUUGAUUCCAUAAUGAUCGCUCCUAACACGUUCGGGGUUGUUAUGGGGACCCCCUUGAUAAAUCGCGUAGUGAUAAGGCUUGUCUGGCAGGACCCAACAUUGGUGUUAAUUUGCUAAUAACUUAAUAAUAAUCUGCAUAGGGAGUAGCUACCCUGAGGUUUCUUAAUCAACAACCCGGGCCAGUGCUCCUCAUGAGUGUUGGUCCAAUCCAGAGCAACUUAUUACGCUCCCCGGGGCAACUCGGUGUUUUGGCGUGGUAACCAUCGCUCAUCCGGCGUGUCCUGAGACUGAGAUACGCGGCUCUUAUCAGGGUCGUCGACACGUCGGGAGGUCCUGCUAGCCUUGUCUUACCUUAGCGGUAUAUCUUGCGUAUAGGAAUCCCAGUGAAGAUUUGGGUUCCCCCAGGGUUGAGGUUUUCCUCUAAGGAAUCCGACGAGAUCACGAGAUUCGUGAUAGAGGAUGCCUUUGCGGCCUGUGUUCGUUUGUGAUGGACUAGUUGGAGCACCCCUGCAGGGUUUAAUCUUUCGGAAAGCCGUGCCCGCGGUUAUGUGGCAACUUGGAAUAUUUUAUUAACAUCCGGUAUUAGAGAACUUAAACAUAAACUAAUAAAACUGCCAACUGUGUGCAUAACCGUGACUGUCCCCUCGAAGAUCCCCCUUCGAUCGGGAACAUCGUGGGGUUAUGAAUGCCGUAGGUAGGUGAUCAGGAUCACUUACUGAUCAAGUAGCUCCGACCGUUAGCGUAGACCACCUUCACUUUGCUCUUACGUAAGUUAGCCACUUGAUCAAACAUAGGAUGCAGCAGCCUGAUACACUUUAUCCCUACCUUACCCAAUAACAUGACUAGUUCUGGCACCAAGGUCUUAGAUUGCUGAGUCCCCGUGGCUCACGGAUUCCUCUGAAACUCCCAGCAGGUACAGGUACCCCAGAGACAGAUGAUCCCGAUGUCACCCAGCUGGCGUGGUAGUACGACGAGGAGAUAGACCGCCUCUACGUGAACUAUCCCGAGGACUGAGCCGUGGUCGUGAUCGUGGGCCUGCAACGGGUAGCAUAGCAUUUUUCCUUGUUUUGUAGUCCGUACCGGAACUACCUUGUUUGUAUCUGCGUUGUACUCUGAGUUAUUAAUAAGAAGACAGUUGAAUCCCAAAUUGUCUACUUGCUUGCGAAACGCUUAGAUGCGCUUCUUUCCUAUUCGGGGGCCUUGACCCCCAGAUCAGAAAGGACCGCAUCUUUGUCGUUACACUAAUUAUCCCAAGGAGACGGAGGAAAACCUUCUAAGGUUUCUAAUAGAUCAAAAUUUCUGUGACCACAUACUGUUUCCAUACAACUUCAGGUGAGGGUCUUUACUCUGUUGUGUCCAUUCACUUAUAAGUGUAAUUGAUAAGUUACUGACACACACACACACACACACAUAUAUAUAUAUACAUCUGCAGCUUUCAUUGGAUUCUGUUGGACAUUCAAAUUGAUAAGGAAAGAGUUGAUGCCUUCGACCCAUUAUCGAGACCCUUGGAACAGUUCCAAAGCCUGCAGGACAUGCUCCAAGGGUAAUUUUAAUCAUUCUUGCGCUCUAUCGGUCUCUUUCGAUGAUUUCUGAUAUAUCAAUUAAUGAAAAACUUAGCAAAUCAUUAUCCUUGUCGGGCAGGGUUUGGAAGCGGUUCAAGUGGGUGACUCCCGGUAUCGAGCCUGAGAAGCUGACCUUUAGAGCGGCUCAGGUAAGUAGCAGUAUGAUAUACUUCUAUUAAUUUUCAAUACAUUUAUGAUGCUAGAUUAUUAUUUUGAUUAUAUAUAUUCUAUUUCUCGUAAAGUGCGACCAACAGCCACGGGGAACGCAUCUAUGCGGAUACUAUGUUUGCGAGACCAUUCGCACGUUUACCUCUUAGUUCAAGGAUCACAGAUUCGACGUAAGCAAUGAACAUUCACACCUCUAUUUUUACCCGUCAUUCUUUGUUAUCAUGAUUGAUAUUCAUAUUCAUCUCCUCUUCUUAUAUAGCACACGGCCAUGAGGACGAAGGUCCUACCAGAGCAACGCGCGAUUGCUGUUGCAGAGGAGCUUGCGGGAUUUCUGAGGACGGAAGCUAUAGAAGACAAAGGACGAUUUAGUGUAGCUAAGGGCCAUUACUGAUGUUCAUCCAUGUAAUCGAAUAUACAGGCUCUAGUCCCGAUAAUUCAGAUCUCCAUAUAAUUGUAUAUAUAUGAUCGCUUGUAAGAUAAGUUAAUCUUAUAUAUAUAUAUAUGCAUAAUUAUUUCUAUUUAAAUUAUAUGAAAAAUAAUUCCCGAACACCAAACGAGGCAUCACGUUAAUCUCCCGAACACCUAAACCCUAAAACCCUAAAACCCAAAAAUAAUUUCAUUCGAAAAAAACCAAAAACCAGCAAAAUCUGAAAAUCUUUAGUCGCGGUCCUUGUAACGAACCGGGACUAAAGGGCCUGCCCCUGGGACGCUACGAGGCGCCCACGUGGAGAACCUUUAGUCCCGGCGUGUAAGAGGGCCGGGACGAAAAGGUUAGGCCUUUAGUCCCGGUUGGUGAACCGGGACUAAAGCCCCUUACGGGUCGGGGCUAAAGGCCCCGUCCCCACUAGUGAAGAACACCAUGAAGAAGAUUGUGAGGCGUGGGCGGGGCAAUGAGACGGGAGGGACGUCGGUUUAGUAAGUAGGUUGUCGUAUGGGGGGCCUCAGCUCAGAAGGGGGGAGGAGAUGGGCUUGGAGAAGUAGUGUGCGCACGAUGUCAUUGAUGGUGCGAAUGAGUCGUUCUGCUUUGCCGUUUUGAGGAGAAGUGUAUGGGCAAGAGAAGCGAUAUGCUAUGCCAUUGGAUGAAAGGAAGGACCGUAGAGAUUUGUUGAUAAAUUCGCCGCCAUUGUCACAUUGCAAUACUCUUGAUGAUAGAGUGGAAUUGCGUGUAAACAAACGUGAAGAAACGUUGGAGAACCGUGGACGUAUCAGAUUCGUGGUGUAACCGGGAAGUUCACGAAAAAUGGGUAAAGUUCUCCAACACAACAAGAUUUACUCCUCUAUUCGUUUUUUUAAAUUGUCCUCUAUACGGUUUUGAGUUAUUGACUAGAGAUGUUCUUUUGUUUAUGCUGCGGUGAAACGUGUCAAGGCGUCUUUCUUGGCCCCAAAGAAUGCUUCGAAGGUAGUUUUCCUUGCUGUUAUUGUAAGUUGUGCUAUGGUUAUGCUUAUGUGUGAAUUGUUUGUUUCGUUAGAUCAUCCAGAGUGUGAGGCUUGUUAUUUAGAGUCGCUCGAGUUCGAGGAUCGUCAACAAGGCAAGUUCACAUUGAUCAUGUUUUUAUCUAUGGUUUUAUUGCAUUAGUUCAACCUUCUCCACCUUGCAUGCAAAGUAGGUACUUGGAAAUUUGGUUCUUGAGUAGUAUCAUGUGGUAGACACCCAUAAACCCUUGUUACUUUGGUCCGGGACGUUAUUUUUAUUUUGCUAUGCUUCUAGUAGACGGGGUUUGGUUGAGUGUUUAUCAUGAUUGUUGUGAGAACUAAAUAAUAAAGACCUAAAGACUUCAAGACUUUCAAGACCUCAUGAUGCAAUAUAUAUUUGGGUGGGUGAUGGUAGAGCGACACCCUAGAGGAACGAGUGGUAGCCUAGGUGAUGUUGGAGAAGCGCUAGUAUUCACGCGGAAAGGUCCACCCAGGCACGAGUAGAUGAACGGAUACUUAAAGACCUGAGGCUUACCUGCACAACCACAAGCCAUUAUGGGCUCUAGCUUGGUUGGACAUCAUGGCGAUUCUGGACGGGCGGUGCUACGAGAUGUAGAAGAACAAUAGGAAUGGAUGGGCACCAACACUGGCUUAGAGGAACCUGGUGGAAGACCAUGUUUUGAUCAUUCAGUUCUCAAACACCCUACAGUGUGACGACUUCAACGAAGGCGAUCAAAUCUUGUGGGGAACAUGUGCAAAACUCUCCAGAGUACUCAAACCUAAUCGAUUAGCCGUGUCCACGGUUACGGACAACUUAAGCCAAAGGAACUGAAACUAUCAGAAACUCUCGACACAAAUAAUAUUAAUAAUGUGGGUAUUACUAUUAACUUGGGCAUGAGAAAUGGUUGGUGGAACCUUCUCAUUAAACAACCAACUUGUAGUAAUAAUUUUGCUAUUGGCCCCCUCUCUUGUUGUAGGAAAAAAUUGCUUCCCGUUAACAAAUUACAGGCCCACCUGCCAUAUAUGCAUAUAGUGUAGCAGAUGAAUUUUACCUCUCUUUUGUGACUUGUCGGCAUAUUAAUAUGCUGAACUACACGGCUGCAACGUAUCAUAUUGUAGAGUACUUUUUUCGACCAGAAGUGAGUACACGCUCAACGCUCGUUGAUUUGCCCCAGGAGUCAGAUGGACUCGACUACCUUCGAAGCUUCCACUAGUUUUGAUUAGUUUUAUCUCAUGAGUUGGCCUUCAUCCACUUUAUUGUAAUCUUUAUUGUAAUAGAAGACUCGAUAUGAGAUUUCGAUUAAUAAAGUAGUUGUGAUUGAACUCUUGAUAUAUACAUUGAUGUGUAGUGUGUGUACCAGCUUGAUCUUGGGAUGGUACGGAAACACCAGAGACUGGACCGUUUCAGGUCGGGUCGCUACAAGGCCUCACCUGUGAGACGCCAGGUUCUUCACCAUUAAGCUUGACGAGACCUUCGAUAUUUAUACAGUAUGCAACGAUGACAAGUGCUUUUUUGUAAUUAAGAAUGACUUAUGUUUCUUCGCUUCAACAUGUAAUUUCUAUUUUAUGCAAUUCGACUAGUUCCUCGCAUGUCAUGCAAGAAGGUAUAUCUUGAAGAGGCUCAGUUUCGAAGACCACGAGAGUAUGGAGAUGAGGAGAGCUAACCUGAGGACUAAACAUGGUCACACAUUUUUGGUCAAAGUAAUGAAUGCAGUUAAUAACACAGAAUUAGGGUGCUCAAAUUGGGAAGCUCUUUGCAAGACAUAUGGAUUUUAAGAGGAUAUGAAAAAUAACAUUCGAUCUUCGCCCUAAAGAUCAUAUUGAAGGUAACAUCGACAUUCGGGUGGAUGUCGAUAUGCUUCCUGUUUUACCUUCAUGUGAGUUUGUCAACCAUAUUUGUCAAGUAAUUUGCAUUCUAUAUUUAAAAUAGUUGGUGUUCAUCCAUACUAAAUUUGUUAAUUUAUAAUUUACGGCUUAUUUCGUUUCUUCGAAUGAAAUACAAAAAAUAAUUGAGACGACACAUUACACUUAUGGAUCACAUCUAACUUGGGAGGAGAAGGAUGUUCUUAUCAACUUUGUUAUUUGUGUCCUGGUUGGUAGGAAUAACUUCCCAUAUAAUUUGGGAACUGACCCAAAUUAUACAUUUUACAUGUCAUUAGUGCAUAGUUUGAGGGCGGAUGACAUUCACCGAAAUAUCUUGGUAUGAGUUGCUAAUUAAGUACACUACUAUUGCAUAAAUGGUGUUGAUUAUAUUGCUAACUAGGCUACUAUUAUGUUCUUCAAGUGUAACUGCCAAAUGAUGUUGUGCCUCCGUUGAUGCAUGGCGAAGGUUAUAUGACAAUUAAAAGCCCUAUGAAGCCCCAGUUCUCUUUUCCAAACUCGACUGAGCGCAAACCACAAAGACGACCCCAAAUUGAAGCAUGGAGAGAAAUAAAGAAGAAUCGCAAGUCACAAAUUGGCGACGUUAGAUCUCUCUCCUUCAUCACGGAGACAUGGGUGAUAUUUUUUAUGACAUUGUACCUAGGAGAGAGGACUAGGUCCUAUGAGAGAGAAGUUUUUCUGGUUUAUAUUAACUUGGCAUGAUCGAUUAAGAUGAUGAUUAUUAUGAUGUUUUUCUGCUUUAUGAGAUUUUAACUUGGUAUGAUUAAGAUAAUGAUGAGUUGUUAGAUGAGUAAGAUGAUGAUGAGUCAUCUGACAUAAUAUUUGAUUAAAUUUGCAGCGCCUUAGUAGUAGCGCAGGCACCCGCGCUACUGGUAGUCCAAAAACUGGCGCUACUACCAGGGUUACCUCUAGUAGUGUCAAUAUGUGUAACGCCAGGGCUUGGUGUCGAUUUAAAUGAACAAAUAAAAUAAAAAUGAAACCCUAAAUGUUAAAAAAUGUUACCAACAGGACUAAAGGUCUUUCUCCCCUCACGCCCCACAGCGGCCACGUGGAGCACCGUUACGCCCGGUUCGUAACACAACCGGGACUAAAAUUUCAUGCCUUUUGUCCCGACUGUUUAGUCCUGGUUAGAGAACGGGACUAAAGGCCCUCUGGAACCGGGACUAAUGGCCCUCUAGAACCGGGACUAAUGGCUUGUUUUCCACUAGUGUCUCUAUGAAGCGUCAAUCUUUAAUUUCAUGUUUAUGUCGAGUCAUUCCCUUCUUGUAACCUAUCACCCAAGCGUGGAUCCGCUCUUCGACGACGACCUUCGAUGGCUGGAUCCUACCAUUUCGGGUGGUUGCGAGCCGAUUGGAAGCAUGUGAGGUGGUGUGGUGUGGCAAGGUGCAGGCGGGCAGGUUCGGCAAUGGAUUUGUGGGUGCGAGUGAUGGAGAGGGGCGGUGCGGGGGAGGAUUUUUUCCCUAAGAGCCGGUGUCACUCGAUUAAUAUAAAGGGUUUGAUGCGGCGAUGAAUAAAAAAGAAUGGAGAUAAGGGAUCAUUUGGGUGGUUUAGCCCUUCAAAAACGAAUGUUUAAGUUGAGAAGAAUAGUUUUAUGCUGUUGAUUGAUUCUGUUGCGUUACAACUUACAUAUACAUCGAGGGAGAGAGAGAGGGCUCCCGAGAGAAUAGGCAUGCAGACCAUCGGGGUGAGAGGAUCCUGAAUUGUAGGAUCGGGCUACAUACAAUGAGAUAUACACCCUAUACAAUAGACAUACGUUAACACCCCCCUCAGUCGGAAUCCCAUUGGGAAUGGUGUUCAGGCUGGUCCAAAACUCGGUCAAGACCUGCGAGGGUAAUCCCUUGGUGAACACAUACCCAUACUCAGAGCUGGAGGGAACAUGAAGAACUCGCACUUCGCCGAGUGCCACACGAUCAGGGAUGAAAUGCAAAUCAAUCUCAAUAUGCUUGAUGCGUUGGUGCUGGACUAGAUUACACGCGAGAUAAGAGGCGAUGAUGUUAUCACAAUACAUCACUGUGGCAUGGGUUGGGGGAACCCGCAGCUCUUGGAGGAGUUGUCACAACCAACAUGACUCAACCAUGCAAUUUGCAACGCCACGGUAUUCUCCCUCUACACUGGAGCGUGAAACAGUGGGUUGCCUCUUGGAGGACCAUGGGAUAAGAUUGUUCCCAAGAAACACACAAAAGCCCAAGGUGGACUUGCGAGUGUCCGGACAUCCAGCCCAAUCUGCAUCCAUGUAUGCUAAAAGAUCCAAGGGCCAGUUCUUUUGAUAGCUUUUUUGGGCUUCUAGAAUAAGCUGCCCUCUACCCAACUUAUUCUAGAAGAUCAAAUAAAAAUAUUUUUUAGAAGCCUACUAGUAAAGUCUUAAUUAGUAGGCUUCUAAAUAAAUAAAUUUGGUUGGGCUUCUAGAAUAAGCUGGAUAGGGGGCAGCUUAUUUCCGCUUAUUCUAAAAGCUAGCAAAAGAGCUGGCCCUUGGAAGGCGACCGAAAAAUCAGAAGACCAUAAUGAGAUAUGCCUUGCAAGUACCGGAGAAUGCGCUUCACAAGUUGCAUAUGAAUGCCACGUGGUGCAUGCAUGAACAAGCAAGCAUGUUGAACCGCAUAGGUAAUGCGUGGCCGGGUAAGGGUGAGGUAUCGAAGAGCACCGGUCAGACUUCGUUAUUGUGUACGGUUGGCAAGUAGAUGGCCGUUAUUUGAGGAUAGUUUGGAGGUGGUGACAACCGGAGUGGAGACGGGCUUGCAGUUGAGCAUUUUGGCGCGUGCAAGAAGCUCAAGAGUGUACUUUUGUUGACAAAGAAAAAGGUCGGAUGUGUUGGGUGUAACAUUGAUGCCCCAAAAUGGUGGAGGGCACCAAGGUCCGACAUGGCGAAUGAGUUCUUGAGGACAUGAAUGAUGUGGUUAAGGGUGGCGUUAUCACUUGCGGUAAGAAUGAUGUCAUCUACGUAGACCAACAAGUAGGAAAAAGAUGUACCCCAGUGUAAGAUGAAGAGGGAAGUGUCACUUUUGGAAGCAUGAAACCCAAGAGACAACAAGAAAGCUUGAAAGCUAAGAAACCAAGCCCGAGGGGCUUGUUUCAAGCCAUGGAGUGACUUACGGAGAAGGAAGACUUGAUCCAGCUUUGUGGAGUCUACAAACCAAGCUAGUUGACAGGAGUACACUGUCUCAUUGAGAUCGAUCUGUAGGAAUGCAUUUUUUGACGUAAAGUUGGUGAAUCGGCCAUGAGUGGGAGGUGGCAAGGCUCAAUACAACACGAAUGGUAGCCGACUUGACCACCGGGCUAAAUGUCUCAAAGUAAUCCACACCUUCUUGUUGGGUGAAGCCACACACAACCCAUUGUGCUUUGUAUCGUGCCAAGGAGCCAAAGUUGAAUUUGUGGCGAAAGAUCCAUUUCCUCGUGACAUCAUUUGCACCUGCAGGUUUGGGCACCAAAGACACAGUGAAGUUUUCCAUUAAUGCAUUAAAUUCCUAUUGCAUCGCUUGGCACCAAUGGGGGAUCUUUGAGGGCAGAUUUAUAAGUGCGAGGAAUAGGGGAAAUGGAUGUGUUAGAGGCAUCAGCAAGGAAGAGGCGUUUGGGCAUGAGAAAACCAAUUUUGGCAUGGGUGGACAUCUUGUGGGAGAUUUGGGGUGGCUGUACCGGAACCGCAUGGGGAGGCAGAGCUGGCAACAGCUUACUGGAUGGAGCAGAUGCCGAGCAGGAUUCGGUGGUUCCGGGCGAAGAGAGGGCAGGGCUCUUGGGUGGCAGAUCCGAGGAAGGUGCGUUGGAAGACGAGGUCAACGAGGCAGCGUAUAGGGUGACGGGGAGAUCGUAGGAGGCAGGCGUUCCAGGAGCAGCAUCCGAGGGAGAUGCGGCGCGUGGGUUGGCGGAGAGGGGCGUGGGCGUGGGGUUGACCACAGGCGAAGCGGAGGGGUGCGAGUGGGUGCACGACGGGUCCGGUAUGGCUGGCGGAUCAGGUGGAGGCCCAGACGAGGUAGUAGGCGAUGGACCCAAGAGAUCCGGGUGGGUAGGUGAUCGUGCAUGGGGAUUUUCUUUGGACGUACAGGGUGUGUGUGGCUUGGUGGGCAGGGUGUGUAUGGAAAAAUCGUCUCGCCAUUAGGACACGACGGGAUGUGAGGUCAUAGCAUCGAUAUCCUUUGUGUUCAAGUGCAUGGGGCAAGUUUGUGAUCCAUGGUUGCAUACAAGUUCGGAAAGCAUAGGCAACCGAACACACGUAGAUGGUCGUAGGUCGGAAGAACACCAUGAAGAAGAUAGUGAGGCGUGGGCGGAGCAAUGACACGGGAGGAACGUCGGUUUAGUAAGUAGGUUGUCGUAUGGAGGGCCUCAACCCAGAAGGGGGGGAGGAGAUGGGCUUGGGGAAGUAGUGUGUGCACGAUCUCAUUGCUGGUGCGAAUGAGUCGUUCUGCUUUGUCGUUUUGAGAAGAAGUGUAUGGGCAAGAAAAGCGAUAUGCUAUGCCAUUAGAUGAAUAGAAGGACCGUAGAGAUGUGUUAAAAAUUCAUGCCAUUGUCACAUUGCAUACUCUUGAUGAUAGUGUGGAAUUACGUGUAAACAAACGUGAAGAAACGUUGGAGAACCAUGGACGUAUCAGAUUCGUGGUGUAACCGAGAAGUUCACGAAAAAUGGGUAAAGUUCUCCAACACAACAAGAUUUAUUCCUCUAUUCGUUUUUUCUAUUGAAAUUGUCCUCUAUACGGUUUUGAGUUAUCGACUAGAGAUGUUCUUUUGUUUAUGCUGCGGUGAAACGUGUCAAGGCGUCUUUCUUGGCCCCAAAGAAUGCUCGUAAACAACCGAGCUUAAAAUAAACUUUUUUAAACACACAAUUUGCGUUUACACGGAAGAUCUUUUCCAAAGACAGUUUACUUACGGGCCUAGAUAGACGUGCAAGAUCUUUUCCAAAUAGUAUGAGAUUCCUUCAAGAUCAAUCUCCAGAUACACCCAACAAGAACAAAGAUCUCUUUCCGUAUAACAGACCACACGAGGGUUUCCAUACCAUUUAAGCGAUCCUAGCGACUUAUAUUUUCCCACGUAAUAACCUACCCAGUGGCAUCUCUCAAAUUCCACCGCUGGAUAGACGUAAGAUAGAUCUCCCUCGGCAAGUCGCCAUGGACUCCCGCUCCCGCAUCGACGCCGCGGAAGAAGCGCGCCGCCGGCAGGUGAUGGACAGCCUCGGCGUGUACGACGCCGAGUGGGCGCUGUCCAAGGUGUUGGAGCAGUCUGACGUCCAGGCCGGGCAGAACCGGCUUCUCCUGACCAAGGAGGCGGUGCAUGCUGGCCCCAUCCCGAAGCUCUUCCCGGAGCUGGACGAGCUCCGCGACGACGGCAUGAACGCCGAGAACAAAGUCUCGGUCAAGGUCCUCGACGCCGAGGGCCGCGAGAAGACCGUGAACCUCCGCUUCCUCAACUCGAACAAGGCGUACAGGAUCAUGGGGCCUGACUGGAGGCGGCUGGUGGAGGUGAGCCGCAUGCGCAAGGGAGACCGCCUCGAUAUCUACACUUGCAGGCGCGGCGAUGGCGAAAGGUGCCUCUUCGUGUUCAUGAGCUCAGGGCAGUGGGCCAGUGGCGCCGGCAAUACCUGCCGGAGCAACGGUCCUGUGUUGAGACGGCCAGGUUCUGCGGCAGGUCACGCUGUCGUCAAUGGCAGUCAAGAUGAUCCAAGGCCACGCUUAUGAUCGUUCGAGGUAUAUGCCAUUGAUUGGUGAGAUUAAAUCGUUGGUUUCUGAGGAUAGGGAGAUCGCUAUCAGGCGUACACAGAAUAGGACUAGCCUUUUUUUGAGAGAGAGAGAGAGAGAGGCAGAAUAGGAAUAGGACUGCCAUGCCAAUAAAAUCCUCCUUUGUAAAAAAAAUGCAGAUAGGUAGCUGGCUGCUUCCUUCUUUUUUUCUUUUUCUUUUUACCCAAAAAUAGAGCCUUUGGUGGAGAUUUACAAUGCAUAAUUUGGUUGAGUUUUGAAAAUGGUCUUGUCAAGUAUCCACUGCCCAUUGCACCCGCUAAAAUCAUCUUCAACAGGCACCCAAAAACUGCUCCGCACGUUAAAAGAUUUGUUUUUUAGGCGCCAAAGACAGAAAACAACGCUACAACGUAUAAAAAAGAUGCAUUGCAUUAUUGGGGCAUCGGAUUGCGCACGCUGACCGCUGCAAGUGGGGCCACCGGAUUGGUUGCCGUGUUUUUGUGCAUGUGUUGAAGAACAAAGUCUUAGCAGGACGCACAAUUGCUAUUUCGACGCUGUAAAAAAAGAUUUAUAACGCCGCGCUACAGCAUGUCUGUUGAAGAUGCUCUAUAGAAAAGUGUAAAGGGCCAAUCAAGAUCUUCGAUACAUUCAGCAAAGCAAUACAAGCAAAGUGUAACAUUACAACUCUACAAAAUCGUUACGAUACGCCCAAUCAAAAUCAAGCUAAUAACAAGGAUUAUGUUUCUUAUUAUAACAUGAGAAAAACUUCAUAAAAUUUGACAAUCAAGCAAAAUAAAUGAAUUUACCCUAAAGGCUAUGACAAAAUAAGAAUUUAUAAUUAAUUUCUCAAUCCGGAGGUAGAGGAAGGCCUGGGAGCCGGAGCCGACACCGCCGGAGGACCAGGCGGAGCAGACCCGUGGGGACCGUAGAGGGGGAGGAGGAAGGAGAGGGCGAGGAGGAGAAAGGAGGGAGGUGGGAGGAGAAAGGAUGCCCUGGGAGCCGAUGCCGCCGGACGGCUGGCCGAUGCAAGCCCGUGGGGGAGCGCGGAGGGGGAGGAGGGAGGAAGGAGAGAGGACGGAGGAAGGAGGAAGGGGAGUAUACAUGCGCAGGCGAGGACGGUCGCCGAAGCUGGCAUCGGCUGCUAGGACGGUCGCCGAAGCGGGUGGUGGCGGCCAACCCUAGCCCGUCUUCCUCGUCUCUGUUCGAUUGUGUUCGUGGAUGACGUCGGGAGAUAUACAAGCGAACCGGUACAACUUGCGAGAUGGUAGCGUGGGUAAUUUGGACGGAAAGUUUGCCCUCGAAGCUGGAAUUCGGGGUCGAGCUGCUUUGCAAAUUGCAGUGGCUCGAAGCUGCUGCUUCUCCGAAUCUGCUGCUUCUCCGAAUCUGCUGUGAGAAAUAACCCCUUUGGUUAAGAUUCUAGCUUUUUUUACUAAGAAGUUGGAAUCUAAAGUCCAACCAAACACAGCCUAAGGAAGAGUGCGGCCUGCUCGAACCGAUGCACCAGCGCGGCCGGAAGUGGCGAAUCAGACCUCCGGGACCCGUGAGACGACGUCUGAGAACACAAUGUGGAGGGCGUCGAGCAGGUUGAGUGCAUGUGGUGUUGGCGAUCCGGGGCCAUGGGUACGGUGCAUGGCGCGAAGAGGUCGCACUUUGUUUCGAGAACACACAAGGACUCUCCGUGUGUAUGUAUUAAGAUAGGGAGAAUCAAAAAGUGUACAAUGAGAAAUUCGGACAACGCAUGUGGGCCGCCCCUAGAUCACGUUAGAAGGAACCUCGACCGUUCUCAAAUUGCGAUAGGGAUUGCAGAUAUAGGGGCUGUUUGGAUUGUGACUAUCUUUGCCAUAUCUUACCACAUUAUUUUUGCCACACUUGCCACACUUGUCUUACUUGAGUUGCUCAAAUUGUUAGCCACACAUUGGCUUGCCUAAGGGAAUCUUGUCACACUUUUUGUGUCUAUGACAUGUGGGGUUUAGUACUCAUUAAAAAAUGCUUGCCUUAGGUGUGGCUAGAACCAAACACCCACCUAACUUAGUCAAACUUGCCUAAGGUAAGUUGUGGCAAAGUGUGGCAAGGUGUGGCUAGGAACCAAACAGCCCCUAUGGCGAGGUAAGGCGGUGCUGGCCUUCCUAGUGCAAGCUAGGUGGAAAAAGGGCCCCCUGAUGAUGUUGGCCCUUCCUCCGUGACAGAAACAUUGGUCGUGCUUCGUGCUCUGCUUUCAUGUUGUCGUAAGGGAUAUAUAUGUGCUGGUAGACGAAGGUGUCCCGAUGAAUCAUCCAUGGAUUGGCCUCAGUUUGCGCCUCCUCGUCCAGUGGCUCCGGCUGCUCCUCCUCUGCCUCAUCUCGGGCAGUGUAUUUAUGAGAGGGGUUAGGGAGGGAUUUCACUCCGAGUGAGAGUGUGAUCGGAGGGAAAAGAUGGUAAGAGGAAAUUGGGUCGGCCUUGGCGGUGCAUCAGGGUGCGAGCGAGAGGAAUUCAAUUUUGCAUGAUUUCGGUGCACUUUUUUAGGGGAAACGUUGCCUAUUUAUUCAAUGUUUAUAGCUCUCUCGGCAAAAAUCUCCAAGCUAAUACACUGAUGAGAAACAUGAAACCACGUUUCACAUAACAACUUACAUCAACCCUUCCUAGCUAGCAUGCAUAUGUGCAACCUUGUUCGUCGAUCUUGGCACCCAAGAAGCCAUAAAUUCUUGAAAUGACCCAAGUAGCGACUUAAUCUCUUCCACUAUUUGCCAUUAGCAGAAAUACCUUUUUUCACUCGAAAACUUUGUUACUACCACACGAGAAUCCGUGUAAACAAUCACCUUCUUGGAUGUUUAAAACUUGAGCUAGGACAAUGGCUCUCCGGCAAGCCAAUUACUCUAUCAUCUCUCAAUCAGCAGCGACAUGAUUUCUUUUUGGCAUGAACCAACUAAGAAGUCUCCAUGGUUUUCUCGAAGAACAACUCCUCCGCCUCCUGAUCCUUCAUUCUUUGAUAGCACACCAUCAACAUUGACCUUGCUCCAUGCCUCACCUGGAUUACUCCAUUUUUGCAUCUCAUGUUGGUUUAGUUGGUGGUGUGUGCGGUUGCAGCAGCCCUAGCAGUUCAAGCAUGAGUCCAGGCUCAAUGCAGCCAAGUGUCCAAAAAGAGCAACGGGAGGGGCUCGCUUACAAGCAACGAAGUGUACGAAUGUAUUUUUUUUUUUUACUUCAGCGGUUGAAAUUUUUGUAAUUUUGGUCGAAAAUAGGGGUAAAUAAAGUGACGGAUAAAACCCAAGAGAAACGUGCCUUCCUUUAAUAUUAGGUAUAGAUGUAAUUGUAUGCAAUUAUGGAGAAGAUGACAUAGUUAGGCACAGCCACGAGCAUGUCGUUUGCCCUAUUUUACAUCAUUUCCAACGGAAGAAAAAAUUAUGUUCUCCUAUUUUACAUCAUCUACGACGGCAAAAAUAAUUGGUGCCAUCAAACUUCUUUAUGAUAUCUUAUUAUAUACAUCACUAGCAAAAGGACCCGUACGUUGCAACGGGAAAAAAAUAAUACCACACAUUUUUAAUUAAAGAAUUUAGAGAAAGAAAUUAAAGGAAAGAGAGAGAGUAGUAGUGCAUAGUCCAUUAGGCGUGCCAAGGCCCAGCCUUACCCACUCAUAAAUCCCCUAACCUAGCCCGAUCCCCAGCCCCCUCCUCUCCUCCACCUCGCGCCGCUAGGGGAGAGAGCCCCACAAGAUCCCCAAUCUCCCUGACUCCCCCUUUCAAUGGCGCCCGCACUCGCCUCCUCCUCUGCUCCUCCAUCGCCUCCGACCUCUGCACCUCGCGACCACCUCCCAUGGUGUGCUGCUGCGAGGUUGGCCUACGGGGUCAGUCUCCGGCAAGACUUAAGUUUUGGACACGUUUAAGCAUGGGUUGGGCAAAUGACAUGUCUAGGGUCGUGCCUAGGCUAUGAGGACAUAUUUUACCGUGUUGGUAUUCCAAUAAAAAUGUGUUGGUCCCACGCAAAUCUAUCCAUCGACACAGCAUUGUAUUUUUUUAUGUUGGCUCAAAAUACAACUAAUAAAGUCAAAAAGCACAUGAUUAAUUAGGGAAAACAUUCCACUCCAAAAGAAUUUGCAAGGGAUGUCGCAUGCCGGUCGAUUUAUGAAGUGUGACGUGCCUAGGCUUAGAGUCGGAGCAACUACUUAGGGAGCCUUCCCUCACAAGCAUGUCACUAAUCACUUUCACGCGUCGCCACUUGACGCGUUCCCAGUCGCCGUCACGUGUCGCGUUUUGAGCGUUUUUUUGGAUUUUGUUUUUUGUUUUUUAUUUUUUCACAUGCGUUUUCGCCUUUUUAACUGGGUUUUUCUCGACCAUUAUUUGUGUUCCGGUUUAUACCGGUCUUUCAUAAGUUUUGGACAAAAAAAUAAUACAUUUUCUGUUUUUUUUCUUGCGAGAGGCACGAUUUUGUCUUCGUGGAAGGCACGGUCAGGAAAACAAACCAUGUUUUCUUCUUUGUUUUGCGAGAGGCACGGUUUUGCUUCCGCGAAAGGCACAUUUUGCCUUCGCGAGAGGCACGCCCGUGCUUUUCGGAAAGGAAAAAAAACAAGUUUUCUGGUUUUUUUGCGGGAGGCACGGUUUUGCUUCUGUGAAAGGCACGGUUUUGCCUUCGCGAGAGGAACGCCCAUGCCUCUCCCGGAAGGGGAAAACGUGUUUUCUGGGUUUUUUUUGGCGAGAGGCACGGUUUUGCAUCCGUGAAAGGCACGAUUUUGCCUUCGCGAAAGGCACGUGCCUCUGAUGCAUUUUCUGCUCUCUCUCUUUUUUGGAAAGGGGAAAACGCGUUUUCUGUUUUUUUUCUAUCGCGUGAGGCACGGUUUUUUCGUCUGUUUUUUUUUCCGGGUUUUUUCGUGAAAAAAUGGUUCGUCAAAACCUAUCAACAUGGGAUCUAGUUUUUGAAGAUCUCAACACGAGAAAACCAACGGUAAAAACGGUUCGAGAUUUGAACGCACGGUUUAGGAGAUAAAACGUUUUAAAAUACAGAUCUACGGAAAAAAAAACUCCCUGAUUGUGAGAAGUGACACGCAUGCAGUGCGCCAUUUAUCGCAACAUAUGAAAGUGAAAAUGACCAUUGAAAAGUGUACUUGUUAACUAAUGAUUUCGCCUCGAGUCACAUCAUAUGUGCCUUGCACGAUUUUAAGCAUGGACUCGGUUGUGUCAUACCGUUGUACCGGCUCAUUUGGACAACUUUGACAUGAACGAACAAUAGGCGUGCCUAUGUCUCACACUCUCACUUCAAGCGAGACAAUAUGACGGGUAUGUUUGGUUCAUGACUAACUUUGCCACAACUAACCUUAGGCAAAGUGUGGCUGCCAUAAAAAGUAUGGCUAAUAAAAUGGACACCACAAGUGUGGUAAAAUUUGGCAAAAAAUUAAGUGUAUGACAUAUGGACCAUAUAACUAGAAAAGUAUGACAAGUCACAAGUGUGGCAAUGAAUCAAACACAUGACUAAGAUAUUGUGGCAUGACUAAAGUUAGGCGUGGCAACCUUAGGCUGGAAAUCAAACAGCCCCGACAUCUCGCUGAAGGCAACCCAUGCAUGAUCCUCGGGCAUGUCGUGGACCAGCCCAGUGCGGACAGAUGCCUCCAGCGUUUUCCUUUCUAUUUUAUUACUUUUUUGCAUUCAUUUUAUGUUUUGUUUAUCUUUGCUUGUAUAUUUUGAAAUAUUCUGGCUAUGUCUAUUAAAAAAUCAAUUUAUAUUCAAAUUUUAAAAGUUGUUAAUCAUGUGCAGAAAAAGAUGGUUGACAUAUACAAAAGUUGUACAAUGUGAAUUAAAAAAGUCAAAAUCAAAAAGUAUAUAUUUUAUAAUUUUUUGAAAAAUGUUAAUCAUGCAAUAACAAAUAUUACAAUUAUAUAGAAAAUAUGUUUCGGGCGUAUACAAAAUCAGUAAAAUGCACGAAGUAAAAAAGAUGAAAUAAAAUUACUAUAGGUUUAAUAAGAAUUAAAUUUUAUUCAUGCAUCUAAAAAUGCUAAAUUUGUAUAGAAAAAAAAUCAUUAUAAUGUAUAUACAAAAUGUACAAUGCGUGUGGAAUAAAGUAGACAUCAAAAUAUGUAAGUUUUUCAAAAAAUAUAAUGGAUUUGGACAAUGUUAAACUUGUACAUACAAAAAAUGGAAACCCGUAGAAAAAAAUGAAGAAAAAAAUUGAAAGAAAAAAUAAAAUAAAACGAACAAAAAAGAGAGGACAAAACCGUGAGCGACCGAGCGCCCGUUCACGACGACCAACACGGUUGCGGUGCUUCAGGUAGUGUUUCUUUAGAGAACUAGAUUAAAAACAGUUUAUUUUAGUUUCUACGUAAAAAAACAUGAGGAACUUUUUUUUUAAGAAAUUAAAUAAUGACUCUAUUAAAAAGACUUUUUUUCUUUAUUCCAUGGAUGGAGCUAAAAAAAAAGUCUAGCCCUCAAGAAACACCACCUCAUUUGGCGUGGGCCGAGGAUUUGCCCCAUUUUUGCGCAAACCAAAACCGUCGCCUUGCGAAUCAGCAAAUCGUCGGGUCGCUUUCCCCCCAAUCUCCGCCGCCGGUUGUUCGGCGCCCCGGCCGCCACCGCCCGCGGCGCUUGAUUUCUCUCUCCACCCAGCCCACAGACCAGAAUGGCGGCGCCCAAGAGCCCAGGGAUCUCGACGAUCUCGACCUGCACCCCAGAGAAGGCGCGGGGCGACCACGUGCUCAAGAUCGAGGGCUACAGCCUGUGCAAGGGCCUCGGCGUCGGCAAGGUCAUCCACUCCGCCCCCUUCGCCGUCGGCGGCUACGACUGGCGCCUCAGCUACUACCCAGACGGCUACACGGAGGCCACCAAGGAACUUGUCGCCGUCCUCCUCGAGCUCCUCACCAAGGACGUGGAGGUGAGGGCGCUCUACCAUCUGACGCUGAUCGAGCAGGCCGCGCGGACGUCGCCGGCGCAGCUCACAUGGCCAAAACCUACGGGGCCUGUCGUGUUCAGGAACCCCGCUAGGGACGCCUUGUCCUGCUUGGACCAUUCCAUGUUCGUGCAGAGGAGCCUCAUCGAGGGGUCGGCCUACUUAUACAUCCCCGACGACAUCCUUCUCAUCAAGUGCGACAUCACUGUUGUCAAGCUGAAGGAGGCGCAGAUGCGGAAGAUCGGCAUGAGCUUUAACAUCCAAGUGCCGCCUUCGGACUUGCUGCAAAAUCUUAGAAGUUUGCUCGAUGCGAGGGAGGAAUCGGAUGUGUCUUUCAAGGUCAAAGAUGAGGUUUUCACCGCCCAUAAGAUCAUCCUCGCAAUGCGGUCGCCGGUCUUCAGGGCGGAGCUCUACGGGCCGAUGAAGGACAAGUGCGGGCAGGGGCAGAGCAUAGCCAUUGAAGACAUGGAGCCCGCUGUCUUCAAAGCGCUGCUCCACUUCAUCUACACGGAUGAGCUGCCUCCCAUGGACGACCUCCAUGACGAUGACGAUGAAGAAGAGAUGGUCAGGCAUUUGCUCGUGGCUGCGGACAGGUAUGUCAUGGAAAGGAUGAAGUUGAUGUGUGAGAGAAAGCUUUCCGAGUUUCUUGAUGCCAAGACUGUGGCGGCCACGUUAGCUCUUGCGGACCAGCAUCAUUGCGGCAAGCUCAAAGAUGCUUGCAUUGGGUUUAUCAACUCUUUGGAUAGAAUGGAUGAUGUGAUGGAUAGUGUAGGGUAUGAGCACCUGAAAAGAGCAUGCCCUGCUAUCUUUAUUGAUAUAUGGGAGAAAGCUGCCAAGGCUCGCAAAAUGUAGCUUGAUCACCGCGGUUUAGCAUUAUUAUAGUUACUUCAGUAUUCCUUAAUAAUUAUAAUUGCUGCGGAGUGCCAAAUAAAGCGUCUUUUCUUGUCUCCAAGGAAUGCUGGAAACAAUUGAGUUUAAAUUUUAAACUGAAUCUGCUAUAUUUACUGAAGUUCGGGGAGACUGUCAAAGGAUUGGUUGAUCAUAGGGAUCAUUGUUGUUGUGCCUUUGUUUGGAUUUCUUGUGAUCGUUUUGUUCUCCCGCGGGGUUCUCUAUAUGCUGCGACGUCCGGUUUUUUGCUUCUUGUUUCCCAGGUCUGCCGUUGGGUGCACAGUAAUUUGUUCAGCUUUAGCAUACUUACAAUUAAUGUUGAGGCUGUAACAAUCUGACUUUAGUUUUUUUAUUAUUUAAGUUAUCAGAGAUCUUUUGGAUAAGAGCAAGUUUCGACAUCUAUGUCUAGGGCCAUAAAGGAUCACUAGCUCUUUUGACCAACAGUUUUACUGUACACUUCCUAUUAUGCUUCUUCAAAGCAGUGGUUGGCUAACUACCAAGGCCACAUCGAUGUGAAAUGUGAUGAGUCGUUAGAAAAUAACAUUCCUAUAGAAAGUUAUUCAGUAAAGUCAUUAACCAGUGCCGAAUUUUAUACUCCCUCCGUUCCUAAAUAUAAGUCUUUUCAGAGAUUUCAUUAAGGGACUACAUACGGAGAAAAAUAAGUGAAUAUGCAUUCUAAAGUAUGUCUAUAUACAUCCGGAUGUAGUCUCUUAGUGAAACCUUUAAAAAGACUUAUAUUUAGGAUUGGAGGGAGUAUUUUAUAGUAGGCACCCUGUAGUAACGCUGACAGAGAUCUCUUCGCUUCGUUCACGACUGUGACCAUUGGUGAUGGCGGAAAAAGCAAAAUUCUCGGAUUCGUCAUGGCUUAAUAAUGGUCUCUGUCCAAAGAUGUCACGCCCAAGAUCUUUUAGAUAUCUAAAAGAAAGGUGUGUUUGGUUAGCAAGGCGCUUCAUAACAACUUCUAGAUUAGACAGACCGACACUACUGAGAGCCUCUCUUUGGCCCAUAUCCAGGCGUUCGCCACUCGUUGGGGGACGGUAUAAGAUGUUACUCUAAGCUUGGACAGGAUGGACACAAUACAUUGAAAAUUCACUUUUAGUAAGGAAUAUUCGGCGGCCACCGCUUACAUGACACAGUUUGCAGAACAAAUUCUCAGCCCCACCUCUACCACGAUCCGGAAGACUUGGACUCAUGCGAAAUGCAAUUCUUUUUGCUUGGUUGAUCAUUCAAAAUCGUGUGUGGACAGCCGAUCGGUUACAACGGCGAGGAUGGCCAAAUUACGGUCUAUGCCACCUUUGCAAACAGGUUCAAGAGUCAGCUCCUCACCUUCUCAUCUAGUGUAGAUUCACCGUUCGAGUAUGGAAUGAGAUCAUCGCUUGGCUUGGCAUUCUUGGCCAAUCUCCGGCGGCUUGGCGCCACGAGGCCUCCGUUCAUGAUUGGUGGCUCAAAAUGAUCAACUCUGGAGGCCACAUAAAGAAGGCGACUAUCUCUGUUAUGAUGCUUAACUCGUGGGAAAUUUGAAACGAACGAAACGUGAGAGUCUUUCGCAACACGGCCACCCCGACCAUUGUCAUCGUUGCCAAAAUCAAAGAGGAGGCCCAGCUUUGGGCGCUGGCUGGAGCUAGUCAUCUAAGUACUCUUAUGUCAUGAGAGUAGUCUUUUUCCUUUGUUUUUGCUGCGUGGCGGCUUAUGUCUAAACCUUCUCCUUAAUGAACGAAAGGACAAUGUUUACUUUAAUGAACGAAAUAAAGUACAAUUAAAGUCAUUUACCUUGUUCAAAGAAAUAAAUUUAAGUAAGUGAUUUGCAGGACCUGUAUCUUGUUCACAUCAUCAUUUCAAUGUACAUAUUUACUUUAAUUGUACUUUAUUUCAGAUGUUUACUUUUAACUCAAAGCAAGUAUUGGCAUUUCAUUUUAUAAAAAGAGGCCUAUUGAACAUAUAACUGCGGAGAUACUGUAAAACUGUUCUUUGCUUUUGCUUACCAUGUCAUCUUUUCUAUUCUACAAUUCCACGUUUUUGUUGCACUCUUGUGAAAGGAUAGUAUUUCAGUUGAUAAGCUGUUGAAUAGCUAUCACUUGAGUUUGUUGAGCUGUUGUGAUCUCGUCUGAGACCUGUCUUCAGGCUUCAGUGAUGACACCUCAUCUGAACCAGCACUGAACCUGCAUGUUGUUGUAGCAAGAUGCUUAGUUUUUCAACUGUUUAAAGGCGGCAAGCCAACUGAUGUUUACUAGUACGUCUAUUUCAUAUUAGUUGUCGUUGAUUUAGUACUCCUACAAUAUAUGCUAUUUGGAGUCCAUUUUCCGUUCCUGCAAAAGGCCCUCCACGUUUAUGCGCGGUGCCUUGGUUUUAACCAUGAGAUUAAAUUACAACCUGAAGAUAACAUUUUCACGAUGUAUGUAAUCCAUACAAUUUUUGUUUCUGUAGAAAAGACGUAAUUUUUGUUUCUGUCACCCGACUGCUCACCAACCUGCUGCUCAUUUAUCUGUUGCCGCUCCUCCUCUUCAGAGUUCAGACCCGAUCUUCUUCCGUUUGCUCGAGGACGAAGAAUGCCCCAACCUUGUCACCAACCUGCUGCUCAUUCAUCUGUUGCCGCUCCUCCUCUUCAGAGUUCAGACCCGAUCCUCUCCCGUUUGCUCGAGGACGAAGAAUGCCCCAANNNNNNNNNNNNNNNNNNNNNNNNNNNNNNNNNNNNNNNNNNNNNNNNNNNNNNNNNNNNNNNNNNNNNNNNNNNNNNNNNNNNNNNNNNNNNNNNNNNNNNNNNNNNNNNNNNNNNNNNNNNNNNNNNNNNNNNNNNNNNNNNNNNNNNNNNNNNNNNNNNNNNNNNNNNNNNNNNNNNNNNNNNNNNNNNNNNNNNNNNNNNNNNNNNNNNNNNNNNNNNNNCGUUUGAAAUUCAGGUAGCAAACCGACCCCGGAUCAACAGCAAGAGAGCGGGCUCUUUCCUUGCUUUUAGUGAACAGCAGAGGCACGGCGAGCUACCACCAUGAUCAAACGCUGUCAUGUACUUGUCCCAAUCAGUGGGCAUAUUAGCAGGGCCAGGAUGCGACCUGGCAUGCAACCCCCUGAUCGUGCGAAUUGCGAUGCAAUGCCAGAAAAGAGAAGAGCACGGACAGAGCAAAUGAAGCAGGGACCAUUGAUUCAGUCGGUGGGGCUGGCCUAAACAUAUCGCCACUACAGUGGCGACUUGUUCAGCACCGGGUGUGGUGACACUGUACACACCACACGGCCACACACGCGUGUGUACUCCGUGCUGGUGUUUAGUGAAAUCCAUCUUGCCGCGUGAGAAAGGGGGGCUUGAUGGAGGACAGGAAUUUUACAGAGCAAUUCUAACCGGCCUACAAAGUGUCCGUUUGAAUCGUGACCAAUAUAAAAAUCGGUCCAACGUGCCGACAUGAACUCGCGUUUAUUAUUAUCUGUUAUGCGGUCAAUUUGCAUCUCAAAUUUAGACAUGAAAUGCAUCGGCACGGACACGCGCCUCGUCUGCCUACUCUUNNNNNNNNNNNNNNNNNNNNNNNNNNNNNNNNNNNNNNNNNNNNNNNNNNNNNNNNNNNNNNNNNNNNNNNNNNNNNNNNNNNNNNNNNNNNNNNNNNNNNNNNNNNNNNNNNNNNNNNNNNNNNNNNNNNNNNNNNNNNNNNNNNNNNNNNNNNNNNNNNNUGUCUUAUCCGUCGCGGACACAGAACCCCCUCUUCUAUCCCUUCUCCCGCCCGCCGCCCGCCCGUGCACAAACCCAACGCCAUAGCCCGUUUUUUCUGUCCACCACGGUCUCCAGCCCUCUCCCCUCCUCCCACCACAACAACCAGCUUGGUGCCUUCCUCGACCCAGUGCGGGAGGCCAAGUGGUAGAUCUGCAGCAGUGGGAUCUGGUGCAUCCUGUCGAUUGGAUUUGUCGAAUCCGGCUGCCCGCGAUUGCGUCUUGCCAUGGAGUGGUCGGGUGCCAAUCCAUCUAGCCCCUGCAUUUCCUCAAUGUCGCAUGCAGGUGUUCAGUCCGCCUCUAGCCGCUCGGAUCUAUCCCGUCGUCGAUUCUUCAGCAAAGCCACAGUUGGCCAUCUCCCUGGCUCGGCGCUAGCCCAUAGGCUUGUCGGCUCACUGUUGCCGCACAUAAAGUGCAAUGACUGUCUAUGGAAGAUCGUGUGUCGCGUCUCCACGACGUCGGAACAUCCCAAAUGAUGGGGUACAUGCUUCUCUUGGUUCUGUUUUUUCGACGAAAUGUCGAUACCUUAUUUGCUCAAAUCUGUGUGUAGGAGGGAUGCAAGUUUGGAUACUGGAAAGAAGAUUACAUCGAUCUUUUCAUCGAACAGAAUUUGCUAGAUGUCUAUGUAGUUCUAGCUAGAAUUGAAGUUAUAGAUGAGACUAAUGAUGAAGACGUAGAGAAGAUAUUAGUCCAACUAAUGGGAGCAGUUAUGGAACUUGACUUUUUUUUUAAAUGUUCAAUCAUGGUGCUUAUUUUCUUUGAUCUUGUUCUCAGAUAUAGCGAAGAAUACGUAAAUCCAUGUAUCAAAAUUCUUUGAUGGAAUAAAAAAAAUAGUCUUUCAUUGUCAAUCAAAAAUAUUUGUACACAAGAGAAAAUGGACCUAGGCGGGCAGUUAGGAGAAAAUGCGUUCGCGCAUUCAACACAUGACCGAACCAAACGCAAAAGGCGACGGACGAGCCAGCCCAAAUGAACAAAAAACGAACAAAGUGCAUGUCUGUUUGGCAGAUGCUUUGGAGUUGCUGUUACAACACAUGGUUCAUUUGGGGGGCAAGAUGAAAAUGUCACGGGGCAUGUGUAAACCGCUUGAAUGAAUUGAUCCAGUCCAUUCCCUAGAUCUAAUGACGUCUCUAAAGAUUUUUUAGGUGUGGUUGAAUUGAUGACUUAACUAUUAAGAUCAAUAACUAUUUUUUUUAGAUCCCAUGCUACAGUCGACUGUUAAUCUACAAUCCGCUUCCCUUCUCUCUCCUCUUCUCUCUCAUCCAGCUGAGCAAAAAAUACAAUAGUUAAUCCUUACACCCUGCCGACUGUAUCUUAUUAUACUUGAUCUCACUGAUCGAGUUGAGGGCCUCCGCAGUUCCCGUCGCCGAUACAAAGACAUCCGCAAGCGCUCUUACGACAGCUAAAGCAAAGCCUGGUAAUGCUGAGACAGAUCCCUUUGGGGUGGUGUUGGUUCCCUCCAAGAUGGAGGCGGCUCCCUCUUGGGAGGCGAGUCUCUGCGAUAGUUGCGUCCAACAUCACGCCCGCCGUAACCUUUUCCUCCUCGGUUUGCCCUAAACCCAUGACGUGGGUGGUGAAAUGGUUCCACUAGCCAUCGGACGGACCGACGUAACCCCAUCCUCCACCUCCACCGAGUUGCCUCUGAUCACCAUAUCCAUGGCCUCCUCCGUUCGAGGAUGAACCCCGGUAGCGAUCGUCUCGGUAUGCGUCGUAGCCGUUGUUAGGAACCCAGUGCCUCUAGCCUUGGAUCGUCGUGAUUAUUUCCCUUUAUAUUCGGUUCAUUUCUCAAUGUAGUGAGUCGAUGGCUACUAGGACUGAAUGAUUGUUGUGGAAUGAGUGAAUCGUCAGAAAGUAGAAAUUGUAAGAAAAUAAUAAUCCAUGCAGAUUUUUUAUAUUAUGUAUUUCCUUCGUUUUGAAAUAAGUGUCUUAAGCUUAAUACAACUUUAUACCAAAGCUAGUGUAAAAUUGAGAUAAUUAUUUUGAUACGGAGGAAGUAGGUGCUUAUUAAUGUUAAUUUCCCCUAAUUUAUGAGUGAGGCGUUUUGGUUCCCAGAUUCAUAUGCACCCAUGCUCAAUACAAAAAUCAAAAUAAAUAUCAGAAAAUUUUUAAAAAUUCAUUUUUUUUUGUCAUAGUAGAGAAUUUGAUGUGUGAUAUUCGUUCCAAUUUUCAAAUUAUUUAAACAUUCUAGCAGCUCUCGACAAAAACGAUAAAUUUGGAUCUUUUAAAAAUAUACUGUUCAUGUACAGUUGGAAUCCUAAUUUAUAUUUUGUGUUGAGAGCUACUCAGACGUCCGAAUGGUCUGAAAUUUGUAGCGCGUCUUACGCAUCAAAUUAUCUACCAUUCUACCUUGCGCAGAAAAAUUAGAUUUUUUUGAUUUUUUUGAUUUUUUUUUCUUAUCGGAUGUAGAUCUAUCCGAGUUGAGAAUUGGAUAUUCGCUAAUUUAACACUAUUCCCGUUGGGCACUAGUAGCUUUUGUAGAUGGCUCCACUUGCGCACCACACGGAAACCCAGAGAGACAGAGGCGUCCACUACCACCUCCUCCUCCAAGCACACACCCGCGCCGUGCUGCUGUCUUGCCUCCUACGCCUUGACUUUACCCUCCCUCCCCAGUCCUCACCCCACUGACACCACGGUCCCNNNNNNNNNNNNNNNNNNNNNNNNNNNNNNNNNNNNNNNNNNNNNNNNNNNNNNNNNNNNNNNNNNNNNNNNNNNNNNNNNNNNNNNNNNNNNNNNNNNNNNNNNNNNNNNNNNNNNNNNNNNNNNNNNNNNNNNNNNNNNNNNNNNNNNNNNNNNNNNNNNNNNNNNNNNNNNNNNNNNNNNNNNNNNNNNNNNNNNNNNNNNNNNNNNNNNNNNNNNNNNNNNNNAUCCACGUCGUCGUCGUCGAUAGCAAGCCAGCCCGGACGCGCCACCCCGUCCAUAUCGCUGUAGCCCCACCGGUAAGCGGGUCGUCUGGAGUCACGUCGGUCGUCGGACGUGGCGGCCCGCGCGGCGCGUCCCGUCCCGUAGCUGCUGCAGCAGCAGAGAGGGGGUGGGGCCGGGUGCCAUUCCGCGGUAUAAUUCCGGCCAUUUAAAAGGCACGCCGUGGCGUUGGUUGGCAUCCCUCCGUUCCACAACACGCAGCAAGCCCACCUUCCCACCCAUCCCCCUCCCUCCCUCUCUCUCUCGUCCACGCCUCCGCAUCGGUCGUUCCCCUUCCUCGCUCUGCCACCCACUCACCGGGCGCCAUGACGGAGGAGGCCGACGGUUGCGCCGCGGUGGUGGUGGCAGAGGCGGCGGGCAUCAUCUGCUCGCUCCGUGCGGCGGACCUGGCCGGGUGGACGCCGCCAUGGAAGACGAGCGGGCAGCCGUCCUCCGAAGCCACGGCGAGGAAAGAGGAGACGGCCACCUGGCCGUCGGUGGCGCGGGGGAAGCGGACGCGGUCGUCGCGCUCAGGAUCCGCGGCAAACAAGGGGAGGAGGUGGGCACGCGGCAGCCCCGCGUCUCCGCUCGACUACAGCGGCGGGUCCGGGUCCGGCUCCGGCGCGUCCACCAGCGGCGGGGAGGACGGCGC
rnacentral:lncRNA from 1 species